CCAUGGUCGCCUGCGGGGUAGAGCAAAACGAUAUUUUAGAACCAAGAAAAAAUUUGGCAUGACCUUCCCUAAAAAUAGGACCAAAAAGAAUGCAUAGUGCCAACAUUCUGGCCGAAACAGAAAUGAAUCAAAACAUUCCGGCAAAAUAUUGGCAACUAUCGCAUUUCAAAUACCGAUACCUUCAAACACAAACAUAUAUGCAACACCACAAACACUUGCAACACCACAAACAUACAUAGAUCUAGCUAGGCCACAAAAAGUGCAUGUGCACGUUGUUGGAGCGAGCUAGGGAGAAAAAAAGUAGAUCUACAUCAUGAAGAUAGCUUUCCCCUUACUUACCUAUAAAAAAAGGUAAUUUCACCACUUAAUUUUGAUGAAUCUAUGAUGGAAAUGAGGUGAGAAGGAGGAGGCAGCCGAAAGCUUGGAGAAGGAGGUGGAGGGAAUGAAGUGGGGAAAGUGAGUGGGUAGGUGUGGGGCUGUCCAAAAUAUUUUGUUGGGGUCUCAGGUUACUAAUGGCGCACCAUCAGCAAAUGCGUCAUUAGUUGCAAAAAAGUAAAAAAAAUAAAUAUAUAUACUAAUGGCUCAUCGGGUAAUAGUGCGCCAUUACUAGUCUAAACUAGUAAUGGCGCACUGUGGAACGGUGUGCCAUUACUAGUUUUGCAAAAAAAAUUACAGUAACGGCGCACUGUCUGCCUAGUGCAUCAUUAGUUUGUAUGGAAAAAUGGAAAAAAAUUAAUACUAAUGGCGCACCUUGUUUCUGGUGUCUUCCACACUAAUGACGCAUCACCAACCGAUGCGCCAUUAGUAUAUAGUAGUGGCGCACUGUUUCCAUGAUGCGCCAUUAAUAUCAAUCCUAUCUAUAGUCAUUUUCCUAGUAAUGUACUUUCCUCCUGCAGUAGCCCACAAACAAAAAUAUGCAUCGAUGGAAUUUUGUCCAUACCUAGUUUACAUCCACACCGUACACGUAGAAAGCGUUUCAUUAAAAAGAUUAACAUUCUUUAAAAUUCUAAAAUAAUGAUACAAGAGGUUUUUCGGUAGUAAAGCCACACGAUGCUUUACUCCAUGCAACGCAGCCAUCGCCACCAAAGACUCGUAAGGGGAACGCCAAGGGGUGCGCAACACAUUUCUUUUGUCCAAGAAAUGGUCCAAUGUGCUCACGAGGGCCACCCUUGUACGCACGGGGUUUCAAAAUUAGUUUAAAGAGAAAUCCCAGCAAGUUCACCAAGAUAUAUAUUUGGCUGAACUAUAGGCACCUAAAAAGAGAAGUCUAAAUAUAUGAUCAGCUAUGUUCAUACUAACCGAAUUCUGUAGAACACACACACACUGUGCUGUUUUUUCACAGAUUUUAAAAACCUUCGUGGGCUACAGUCUCCAGCCCUUGUUUUGGGCUUCCAUUUCCCCUCUUCUCGUUAUCAUCCAGUCCAGCAGAGCCCGCAUCGGUGAGGAGAUGAGCAGCCCCCACAACCACCGCCGCCGCCGCUCGUCGGCGGCGCCGCUGGAGGGCGAAGACCUCCUCUCAGAGAUCCUCGUCCGCCUCCCCCCGCUGCCAUCCUCCCUCCCCCGCGCAUUCCUCGUCUGCGAGCGCUGGCGCGGCAUCGUAUCCGACGCCCGAUUUCUCCGCCGCUUCCGCCUCCACCACCGCCGCAACCCUCCCCUCCUCGGUUGCUUCGUCCAAGGUAUCUCCCCCAUCCGUUUCGAACCUACGCUAGAGGCCCCCAAUCGCGUCCCGGAAGCCCGCUUCUCCUUCCCGAUUGACGCCGCACACACCUAUGUGAUCCUCGGAUGCCGCCAUGGCCUCAUGCUCAUCUUCCUCUGGCGGCGGAACCAGCUCCUGGUGUGGGAUCCCGUCACCGGUGACCGGCACCACCUAGACGUCCCCCCAGGGUUUGACAAUGAGGAGACCAGGAUCAAAGGAGCGGUGCUUCGUCCUGCCGGAGUUGCCCACCACUUCCAGGUUGUCUUGGUGGGCAACAGCGACAUACAACUUACACAGGCUGUGGCCUCGGUGUACUCGUCGGAGACCGGUCUAUGGAGUAAUCUCCUUUCGGCGCCUCUUCCGGCCGACGAUCCUGAUGUAGUCACCAGGGUUUACCAUGACAUGUGCUCCGUGAUGAUUGGGAAUUCCCUUCACUGGUUCCUUAUAGGGAAUUUCUGUGGAAUACUUGAGUUUAAUUUGGAUACGCAGAGCCUUAGUGUGAUACAUGCGCCAGUGGACGUCGAUGUCAACACUUGCUCCGUCACGGUUAUGCGGGCGGAGGGUGGUGGCCUUGGUUUCCUCUUCCUGUCGGACUACUGCGUCCAAGUAUGGAAGAGGAAGACGGACUGUGAUGGUGUAGCUUCAUGGGUGCUGGGAAGGACUGUUGCACUAGACAACCUACUUUCCAUGAAUUCAGAGGAGGGGAGUCAGAGCCCGAGGAUACUCGGGUUUGCUGAGGACAACAAUGUGGUGUUACUGUGGACAUUUAUCGGCGUCUUCAAAGUCCAUUUUGAAUCAUUGCAGUCUAAAAAACUUCUCGAAUCCUACCGCUUUUACCGCUGGUUUCACUAUUAUCCAUUCGAAGCUGUCUAUACUGCAGGUAAAAGUAAACCAAGUCAUUCGAUAUUCUUGUAUUAUUAUUGUUGAGUUAUGUGGUUUAUUCUAUGGAUGUCAGUAGAGUCUUUUUUUAUUUGUUGCUGGCCUAUUGACAUACUUAUGAAUUUCAUUAUGAUCAGAUACAACUGAUUUUUUACUCGAAUUAUAGAAGUAUGUUUAUAUCUAGUUAGUGCCGCCUUGUAGCUAUUUAACUGUUUCUUGGAAUCUCAUUGGUUCUUUGACUUCCUAUUCUUGUAGACGCGGGCAUAAUGUGAUUUGUUGGGAUAGGCAUGCUAUCUUGAUGUAUUGACUCAGCAGGUAACUAUCUGUUAGUAGCAGCAGGAUGAAAUUUGUUUCCUUUCCUGUCCUUCGGUGGUAGUUCCUGUUUUUGUUUUUGCUGCUUGCUACAUUUCAUUGAGUUUUUUUUUUCUGUUUAUUAGUCUGUCUAGUAUCAAAUUUGAUGAUGAUUUAUUUAUUGUUCCAUCAAUGCAAACAUUUGAUAACUAAAACGCCCCAGCAUUUGGCUUUAAACUUCUUAUAUUAAUAUGGGUUUGCAAUUUCUUUCACAUUAUUGCUCAUUCAGGAUCACUAUAAUACCCAAUGAUUGCUUGCGGUUAUUAUUGUAUAAUUAUGUGAAUCUUGAGCGGUUUAGUUAAAUAUUUUCUCAGAUAAUCUCAAUUUGUGAGAAACUCAGCAAAGCAAAGGUGUCUAUAUUUAUAGUUAAAUAUAGUUUGUCUGAUCCAAACUAUAAUUAUCCUUGUGCUUGACUGGGUAGGCAUUCGGCCAUUCCCCGUGUACUGGCACUCUGUUCAAAUGUUGGUUUCGUUUUCAAUGAAAAUGAUACCAAGCAGGGCCCUGUUCUUCUAAGAAAUUUUGGCUGUUGGUGUGGUUUCUGUGCAGUCCAUUUUCUUCGACUUUGAUCAUUGUGGAUGUUUAAUAAUUUUAGAACUGAACACAUGAUAAAAUUGACAAGACCAGAUAUAGCGAAAAACCUGAGAAUAUGCUAACAAUAGGAAUUGAAGGUGUGCCGCUACAAAGUAAUUGAUCUCCUACUGCUGUUCUCUCUAUAUAAUGUUAGUUUUGUCCAAUAGUGCUAAGUUGAUUCAGUUUUGAGUUUUUAUCGCAAUUUUCACAAUGUUGAAGCUAAUGUUUACUGUUUGAAUCAACAAAAAUUGUGAGAUAAGUUUGAACACUUUUUCCAUGAAUGGAUAUUGCAAAUCAGUCUGGCUGAUGGCAUUGGUUGCUCUGCAGGUACCAAGCAUUACAUUUCCGUUGUCUUGGAUGCAGAAAUGGACUAUUUGCUGUCGGUUCUUCCAUUCUGUAUGCUGCGCAUAGGGCCUUUGAUGUGAACUUGACCUUUUAUAUAUCAGGCCCUGGUAAAUGUGAUGUGACCUUGUAGCAAUUAACAUGUCUGGCCAACAGUAACUUGGGAUUAUUCUUCUCAGCUGUGAACUGCUGUCUGUUGUUUUAUCUCCGUAGGCAAUAUUCAAACUGGCAGGAAGAGAAAUUGGUUGAGCGUUGGCUCUGUCGCUGAAUCUUGCACUUCAUUUGCUUGCAUUCUGUAUACUGUUUUGUGUGUGCACAUAUAUUUUUCAGCAUGGUUUGCUCAUGUCCCACAAUAUUUGCUUAUGCCAAUGACAUUUCAUUAUUUCUGUGUGUUUGAAUGUGUACUGUAGUCCCACAGUAUCUGUGAAUUUGAGUUAAUUUCUUAAGAAAUGAAACGUACAGAUGAUGUAUAUAUAUACCCAUGCGCUUCAGUGUGCUGGGGACGUUGUGUUACCCCUUACAACCUGGAAAUUGGAUGAAUCUUCUUGUUUAGUAAAAGAAGUAGAAUGAAUCUUGCACUGUAGAAUCCUCUAUAUUAGAAGCCUCUUAAAAAAGAGGCCAUCUGAUGAGAAGUCCCUUGCACAGUAGAAUCCACUUCUGCUAUUAUAUACAAGGACUAAUAUAUAAUUAUAUAUCGACUGCUCAAGAACUAUUUCUUUAAAACGAGACAAAACCUUUGCCUUUUUCAUUAAAUAAGAAUGAGAUUGUUGCCCAGUUAAUAGUAGUAAGAAAUGUGUAGCCCAUUUCAAUUGUUUUGACAAGUUAAGGGUGAUAGCUUCUGUAUAGAAGAAGAAAAAAAAGAUCGCUGGUUCUUUUCUACAAAAAAAAUUCCAAAUGUAUCUUUUUUAGCUGAUAAGUUUCUUACUACUAUUUCCAAAGAAAUGUGUCGUUUCUACCAACUAGACGAUCACAAGUUGUUUACAAGAUUUCGCAUUUCAUCGACUGAGCCCUUCAUCCAUUUCCAAAGAAAUUUCCUUUUGAGCUGCAUUACAAAAGGCCUAGGAUAGCCUUAUACUGUAUUUAAAAAGGCAAAAGGAUUAGUUUUUGUUUUUUUUCAGGCAAGGCUCAAACUUCCUGCCGGGCCGCACAUACCGAGAGAUGAUGUGGUCGUGGGCUUCCUUCCAGUGGGCUUCCUUCUAGUGGGCUUUCACUCUCACUUGCAGGCACACCACCUGCUGCUCUUCUCACGCUGUGGCGGAUGCUUCGACCCCAGCAUUUCCCCGCAUAGCAGUAACCCUAAAAAAAAAAAAGCACAGCAGCGCGAGAUGUCGCCGGCGGCGGCGCCGCCGCUGGAGGACGACAACCUACUCUCCGAGAUCCUCCUCCGCCUCCCCCCGCUGCCGUCCACCCUCCCCCGCGCCUCCCUCGUCUGCAAGCGCUGGCGCCUCCUCGUCUCCGACCCCGGCUUCGUCCGCCGCUUCCGCGAGCACCACCGCCACAGCCCUCCCCUCCUCGGCUACCUCAUCCACGACAGCCGAGGCAUCUCGUACGACCCUAUCAUGGAUCCCCCCGACCGCGUCCCCGCCGGGCGCCUCUCCUUGCAGCUCGACCACGGCUACGGCUUCUCGCUCCUCGGCUGCCAACAUGGCCUUGUGCUCAUCUCCCACGAUUUACCGAGGCAGAUCCUGGUGUGGGACCCCGUCACCGGCGACCAGCACCGCAUCGCCUUUCCCCCAUGGGUCGACGGGAUCAAAAACCAGAUUCAUGGGGCGGUGCUUCGUGCUGCCGGCGAGGCGGGCCACUUCCAGGUGGUCCUGGUACAGGCCAGCAUAUGGGACAAACAGCAUUUGCAAGUGCUCGCCUGCGUUUAUUCGUCAGAGACCGGCGGAUGGGGCGAUCUUAUCUUAACACCAAUUCCAGCCCCGGUUUAUUGUAUGGGCUUGUCGGCCGUUUUGGUUGGGAAUUCCUUUUACUGGCGUCUUGCUGGGUGUUUCUGUGCUGUUCUCGAGUUUGAUUUGGAGAGGCAGAGCUUGGCUGUGAUACAAGUGCCAGUUGGUGAGGGGAAUAGCUUCACUGUUAUGCGGGCCGAGGGUGGUGGGCUAGGUUUACUCUCCCUGUCAGGCCUCACCGCACAAUUAUGGAAGAGGAAUACCGACUGUGAUGGUGUUGCAUCAUGGGGGAAGGGAAGGACCAUUCAACUGGACAAGCUACUUUCUCCGUAUUCACACGAGAUUGCGCCCCUAUUCAUAUUAGGGUUUGCACAUGAAAAUAAUGUGGUGUUCCUGACGGGUGGUGAUGGUGUCAUCAUGGUACAGCUUGAGUCAUUGCAAUCCAAGCAACUUUGCAGGGUUGACAACAUUUUUGAUCAACAUCAUCAUGCAUUCGAAAGUGUCUAUGCUGCAGGUAAUAGCAUGCCUUUACACUGAUAUGGAAUGCCAUUCACAUCCUCUCAUGUUAACCUAAAUUUUUUAAAUAGUGCCACAUAUUAAUUGAUUGUUUUGAUGUUUGAUGACCUCUUCAAUAUAUAUUGAUGUUGUGUUGUAGUGUUCUGUCCUGAUCCUGACGCUUGUGUGGUGGCGUUUUAUGUAAUGGUUAUGAACUAGCAAGUCAAUCUAGUAUAUGAAUAUCCAUAUGAACUGACGAGAAACACCAAAAUUGGCAAAUUUCCACGCUAAAUUUGUUUAAAGAUAAUCAAAAUCUGAAUAGUCAUUAUCACUUCUGUUGCUAUUAGUUAUUAGUAUGAGCUUCGUUUUGUUCAAAUGUUGGGGAAUGAGUUUUAAAACAAUUCUAGACAACUUCUCUUUUUUGUUAGCUAUAAUAGUCUGAGUGUGCAUGUUCUUCAUUUUUACGAUAUUAAUCACUAUACAUUGUUUGUGGGGAUGCUCUUUGAAUUUCACAAUGACUAUGGUUUUGUUAUAUAUUCCUAUUAUUGUAUCAAAGCUGAGUUGUUUUUUCUCAAAUUACACAUGUCAGUUUUAACUAAAUAUCUUGUUGGUGUUUUCUCCUGUCUAUUUGGCCUGCGGUUGGAAUUUCAUUGGUUGGUUCAUUGUUUGACUUAUUAUGCUUGUAGGAAUAGGCAUUGGCGGUGAACAUGAUGGGGCCGAACUUGUGGGCAAUCCAAAAGUGAUUGUCUGUUAGAUAUGCUUAUUAUGAUGUGCUGGUUGAGCAGGUAAGCUUAUUUUCUGCAUGUAAGUUGAGGUAUAUUGAAAUGUUCUUUCGAAAAACAAAUUGAUUUCCUUUUAACCACCGUUUGUCAAUUACCAAAUUGCAAGAGAGGACUCCAAGAUUCUCUCCAUGACACUUGGCUCAGUUGUUGCCCACCUGGCUACCUCAUAUCAUGUUUUCAUGGCUGGUUGCGUCUUGGAUAAUUUAUCCAUGCCGUGCUUCCUCAUCCCUAUCCUUACCAGCUUUCCAUUCCCUUCAUCAUUCUUUCACUUCACCAGCUUCUCAUGGCUGACUGAUGUUCUCCCUGCUGGAUGUGCCCUUUUGCUUGCCCUCCUUCCAUCCAGUUCCCUUGUGUUCAGUUUCUCUCCUCCUGGUUGUACGAACUCUUCUAUCUCUUACUCCCCCAGUUGCUUCUGGUAGUGCGGGUUCUUCUCCCUCUAGCUUCUCAGACGGCCAAUUGCUUGCAAUUAUUAUUUUCUGUACGUUUUUUUUCUGUUGGUAGGUAGUACACACCCCUCGUUGUCAAUGUAACUUGCAUAUGUGAUUCGCUAUUGGACACUAGUUUAGGUUGUCUGGUUUAAGCUACAUGUUGCUAUGUUUCAAUUUUGACACCCCUCCGUUUAGUUUUGUGUUGUAUCAUGAAUCACAAUUUUUACUUUUACUAACAUACACCCUCGGUUUAAAAAUACACUGCAUAUUAAAUUUUGGUAGGACAAACCUUUCACAAACGUUUACUCUAGUAGUAUGUAGCUUAUGUGAUACAAAAUCAUAACCAUAUAUAAGUACUUUGGAAUAUGAGUCAAAUGUCAAUAAUUUUAUGUCGCAUAAAUAUAUACUAAUAGCGUAACCAUUGGUCAAAGGUUUUUUCUAAUGAAACCUAAUGUGCAAUGUAUUUUGAAAUAUUAGUAAUGGUCUGGUGAGAGUGUUGUUUUUGUGAUGUUGUGCUGCGUAAAAAAUGACUUCUAUUUUCUACUGAAGGAGUUAUAAAUAAAUUAAUAAGAUAAUGUAUGAUCCCUUGCUUGAGGCUUGUAUGGCAUGAAUUUGAUUGUAUUCAAUUUGUUAGUAACCAGAUAGCUCGUACAUUUCCAAAACAUAUGCCUUUGAGUUAGAAACCAGAAUUAUCUGCUUUUCUAUUCCAUGAACCCGUCAUAUGUCCAUGAUAACAUAUUCAAUUUGUUAGUGGACGGGCUCUUAGCCUAGUGGUUGGAGCGCUGCUGUGCGUUCCAGCUGGCGCAGAUUCGAACCCCGUGGGCGUUAUUUGGCCAUACUGGUCAAUUUUGCGGGUUUGAACGUGGGUCUCACAUCUUCUCUCUUAAUUAAAAAAGCUGCAGGGCUCCUCCUCUACUGGUCUUUUUUUUUCUUAAAUAAAGAAUAUUUCAUAGGAUUUGCUUAGCUAGAUGGCUCAGGAUUUGCCUCUAUGGAAGGUAUUUGAACCACUCCUCUCUUAGCCUGUACUGAGACCAGAUGGCAAAAGUUCUCGAGAAUGCUAGCCCGUGGAAGUUGAUAGUGUGGCUACUACACUACAAAUUACCUAUUGCGAUACUCUGUUUCUAUGCCUUUUUUUUCCUCUUUUCUGGAUAAUGCUGAGAUGAUCAAACCUUGGAGUUAUUGGUACUAUUUCCACUUUUAUUUUAAAACAAAUGUGAGAUUUUAUAUAACUUUUAACUGGUUUUUCAUUAAUGAAUAGUAUAGAUUGGUUUGACUAAUGAUAUUGCUUGUUCACAGGUACCUAGAUCUGUACUAUUCUGGUUGCUGAGAUGCAGGAAUUGGCUUUGUCGCUGUGGGUUCUUCCAUAUUGUAUGCUUCAUACGGAGAUCAACCCUCUACAUUGCAUGCAUUGUUCAACUAGCAAGUGGACUUGCAGGAUUAAUCGUUCAACUUGCUAACUUCCCUCAGUUAUCUAAUUUCUGGACACAGCUAGCCAAUUGGCAUGAUGAAGACACAGUGACAUGCUUCGAAUAAUCAGUACCUGUGGUGCAUUUGCUUUAUGCUUUCCAAGCAAGCGGGUCGAAACAAUCUUGCCUGCCUGCCUGAUCUUUGCAUACAUCUUGUAUCUCUGUUCAUCGUUUCACUGUUUUCCGUUUGAUUAUGUUCCAUAUCGUAUCAAGGUUGGGAGACUUUGAUGUCAAUUUCUUAUGUGCCAUUUCUGUGUGUUUUUUUGGUUGAUCUUAUCUGAUUUUGGCUAAUGAAUGUUGGAUAUAUAGCACCUGCGGUCCUGGUGCUAUUUGUCACUGGAUAGCUCGGCCAGCAAUGCUUUGUCAUGCAAGCAUAUUUCAGAUGUUAGUGUACUGAUAUAUGGAGGUUGCUUGUUUCAGAUUCAGCCAAAGAGUUAAUUAUACUACAGUAGCAAGGAUAGAAGUUGCUUGUUUGACCAAUUUACUCAGACCAAUCCGGCGGUGGUUACUGGCAGAUCCGUCUUUGUCACCAAAAACUAAUAAUGCACUAGGAGAUUUAAGCUCAUUGCAGCUACAUGGUGUAGUGUGAUUGCGGUGGCUUAACUUGGUCAGUUGAAUGUUUAAAGUCGUUUUUCCUUUCUUUUAUUUUCUGUGUAGUGAACAGUGGAGCAAUGUGUUGGGGCAUCUGUAGCCGAACUAUUCGAAGGGUUAACGUCUCAAAAUAUGCUCUUUUGAGGAGUUAAUCCCACUCUAGCCGACUCUCGUUUGGUUUAACUUUUAAAAAGAGGUAAUAUCAAUGACAGUCAUAUAACUUGCAUAUGAUGUUCAGUUUGGUGCUAAAAGUUGUAAAAUACGCCAUUGCAGUCACAUAACUUGCCUAUGCGUGCAAAUACGGUCACUUCUUUUGUGUCCAGCCGUAUCUUGUGCUCACGUGUUGUGUCAGCAUGAAUACGGCCCACAUGUCGGGGGCUGUGAGUGGUGAGGUGUUGGGUCAGCCAUGCAUUACCUUUCUUUUGCAAAAAGCAUCUUUGAUUUUUAUUUAAUUACGCACAUCAAGGCACACAGUUUCUUUCAAGAAAGACGAAUAAAAUAGCGCCAGGGGACUAGAACGGACGUCCUCCAAACUAAGAGAUAACUACACUAGCCACUCGACCAAGAAUAAAUUGACAUCAAACUCACAAAUAAAAUUUUCUUUAAUACUAUGUUCGCUCAGCCCAACAAAAGAAUAAACGAAAACUAAAAACAUGUUCGUGUAACUCCCGCAGGAAUAAAAUGAUGUAAGAAAACAACUUAUAUUUUGUUGUUUGUGACGUUUCAAAAAUGUUCUAUGUUGUAAAAAAAAGUAUGUGAUAUUUUAAGAAAUUAAAAUUUUAACAAUAUUUGUGUAAUUAAAACAACUUUAAAAUUAUGCUGAACUAUAUUUCAUUUAUCUAGAUUUUCAACUUUAAAAUUAUUCGUAUUCGAAAAACCCCCGCUAAUUUGCCUGAAAGAAAUUUGUGUACAUUUAUUCUGCAAUAUAUCUUCUUUUAUCUAGAUUUUUAAAAUUUUAAUUAUUCGAAUUCAGAAGAAAUAGUUUAUUUGUCCGAAGAAUUUACGUACAAGCAUUCUGACCUAUAUUUUCCUUUAUCUAGCUUUAAAAAAUUAAAUUUAUUUGAAUUCAAACACAAUUUCCGUCUAUUUGUCCAAAAAUACGUGCAUUCAUUCUGCACUAGAUUGUUUAAGUUAAAAUUAUUCGAAUUUAAACAAAAAUGUAGUUUAUUUGUCUAAAAAAAUCAUGUACAUUCAUUCUGCACUAUAUUUCUUCUAUCUAGAUUUUUCAAAUUUAAUAUUAUACGAAUUCAAACAAAAUUUUAAUGAUUUUUUUGCGGGGAAAAGUUGAAUGAUUUGUCCGAAAAGUUUAUCUAGAAUAUAAGUUAUUUUCUUACAUAGAAAAAAGAAAAAAUACAAAAGAUAAAUUAUGUAUAUCUCUAUAAUUGCACAUGCGGUGAGCUAGCCAGGAGGUCAUAGGUUUGAACCGGGGCUAUCCCUUUUUUGCACAGCUUUUCCUGUUUAAAUUUCUACUUUCUUCGUAUUAUCCAUAUAAUAUGGAGCUAACUGUGCGUACUAAUCACCAAACAUCAGGUUUGUCGAGUAGUUCGAAGCCCAGCAUGUACCCGUCUUUUCAAUUUCAUUUGAGAAUUGUUCGCGUAGAUAAAAUGCAAGGGAUCAGAAAAGUUUGGUUUUAAUUUUAUUUGAGAAUUUUCUGCAUAAAUAAAUAAAAUGCAAGGAUUAAAAAACAGUGAAAAUGAGCCCCCACGACAUUGGCACGCCAUGUGUGCCUGGUACGGCCGGAUACAAAAGAAAGCACCGUAUAUGAACGAGAGGACAAGUUAGAUGACCAAAAACACGUAUUUUACGAGUUUAUGCACCAAACUGAACGUCCCGUGCAAGUUCUAUGACUCCCGGUGUAUUUACCUCUUUAAAAAAUGAGAAGUGUUCAUCAAUUCUCAAAUUUGAGCAACCGAAACGAAAGUCUCAACAAAAGAUUCCUUUUCGGCCGCUGCUCCCACCUCCUCGGCCGCCUCCAUGUCGGGGUUGCCUCUGUUGGCCCCCAUGCACGCCUAUUGACGCCCUGUAGCCCCCCGACCUUUCGCCCCUUCUUUGCUUCAAUCGCCACCGCAGCAAGAAAUGCCGCAUAUAGCUUAUGGAUGACUAGGGCCACCGUGGAACCUCGUUUUGUUGAAAACGGAUUCGUUGGAGGAGCACAAUGGCGUAGAGCGUCCGCACUUGAGCUAAACGGGACGGGGUCAUGACCACACCGAUGCGGCCGACUUGCUCGGGGUCAUGACCACACCGAUGCGGCCGGCUUGCUCGGCGAAGGGCGAGCAGGACUCCGAGGGUAAUCGAGCUCCUUGACGCCUGCAGGCCAUCGACUCGGCCCCGCCGUCCACUUACAGCCUUGACAUCGCUGCAAUGCGGCCCGUAGAGGCUCUCACCUCCUCUGCCUGCCAAGUUUUUGACGAAUCUCCUUGGUACAAUUAUUCACUUUUAUCUUUGUUUUCUACUUUUUGCAGUCAAAUUCGUCUUUCAUUAUUGCAAUUCGUAGAUGAAGAGGUUAAGGGAGAUGUUCUCGAUGUCUCUUUGUCCGAGUAGGAGGAAUAAGAUGACGAUGAUUUUGAGGGGGGGCAUUGUCAAGGAAGAACACAAGAGACCGAGACUAUGACCUCAGUUUGGUUGCUUUUGUGUCAAGCGUGAUAGGACAGAAGCCCAUGCCAAGCUUGUCCGAGAUUACUUUGCGCCUGAUGCAACAUAUCCAGAGAAGUAUUUUCGAGGGAGAUGUUGGAUGCACCGAAGUCUCUUGAACACUAUUGCAAAAGCUAUGGAGGGUCAUCUUCCUUGGAAUUGAGAAGGAAUGCAUCGAGAGAAAUUUUUGCAAGUCCAUUGAUGAAAUUUUUUGCAGCUUUUCAAGUGCUUGUCAAUGGGUGCUCAGCCAAAGCUAUUGAUGACUUCCACAUUGGGGAAGACACAAUCCUCGAGGCGGUUCGAAAAUUCACGCAAGCUGUGAUCGAGAUCUACAUAUCAGAUACUUGAGGGCACCCAAUGAUGAAGACACCAAGAGGCUUAUGGGUCUGGGUGAAGAACGAGGAUGGCAAUGGGAUGCUUGGAUCAAUUAAUUUUAUGUAUUGGACACGAAGAAUUAUCUUGCAUGAUGGAAAUGUUAGCACAAAAGGCAAUGCAAAGAUCCAAACAUCACCCCAGAGGCAGUUUCAUCUAAGGAUCUAUUUAGCACUCGUACUUUGGAUAGUCCAACUCUCAUAAUGACCUUAAUGUCUUUCCGAGACCAUCCUUGCUGCCAAAGAUGCUCCAGCUUGCAGCUAUGUUGUUAAUGGCCGUGAGUACACGAUGAGGGCAUCUAUCCUUCAUGAGCCAUAUUGUAAUACAAAUCCAACAUCCUCAAGGCAGCAAGAGAUCCCUCUUUGUAGGACGUCAAGAGUCAACAAGAAAGCAUGUUGAGAGAACUUUUCAUGUGCUUCAAAAGUGCUCUGUGUUUGAUUGUGAUCCUACCGAGUAUUGAAAGGCACAUGUCUUCUGACAAAUCAUGACCAUUGUGGAUCAGCGAGGAAUGCCAAAAAACUUUUGCUAUAACCCCAAUGGGGAUCCUAUCGAGUUGGAACACGGUGCAAACCAAAUCUAGAGCUGGGAUAGCGAGUUCAAUGCACAACUAGGAAACCACUGUAAACGCCCGAUGUCGAACGGAUACUAUGGGGAGAAAACCUAGAGCAACGCCAAAAUAAAACUAGCACUAUUACGACCAACGGCAAAAGAAAUCAGGUUCUAAACAUGAACCCAUAACACAGCAGACAAGCAACAUCCAAUGCUGCGAAAUGAAGACACCCUCCAACACUAGUUGAACCUAGAGCAUAGCGCACAAUCUUCACUCCCCCCUUCAAUCGACCUCAUGGAGAUCCUCAUCACGUUCAUUGUGUUAGAGCGAAUCAUGUCAACUCCAGUUCGCAGUCUACUUGCUUCACCCUCUUUGUGAGAAAAGAGCACUGAAAAAUAUAUAUGAGAAAAGAGCACUGAAAAAUAUGAUCUCAAAAGGAGUUUUAAUUAUCUUGUGCUCAAAUGUUGCUCGAUUUCGAGAAAACCAAAUGACAGCAAGGCCCGCAGUGUGAAAAAAUUUCUCACUAAAUAGGAAAGAGUAACACCAAGAGAAAUAUUGCCAAUGAUUGCUAGGAGAUAGAUCAGUUCCCAACACUACUCCAAUGAAUCUAAAAUUUGCUCAUGUGAGGGUACGAAACCAGGACACCACCAACUGUCCGGAAGGACAGAAGCCACCCGAGCCAGACAAUGGUUGUUGAAUAUGAAUAGUUAAAUUUGUAAACUUUGAAUUUGUAAUAUUGUUGAAUUGUGUGAACCUAAGUUAUCAAGUUCUCACUUAGUACGGGUGCAAAUAUCCAGUUGAAAACGGAGCACGUAAACGAAAAGAUAGAAGAGUUGGCGCAUAAUGAUUUUCUUAGGGAGUUAGUUUUUUGAACUCCUUGCAUCUAAGUUGAGUGAGUUAAGGUUUGAGCAAGUGUUUGAUGAGUUAAAUUUUGGGAAUUCGGUUAGAAAAAUGCACUCCUUUAUCCCUAAACACACAUCCGAAAACAGAACAACGCCCCCUUUUCCCUUGCGCUUCUCCCCCCAUUCCGUACGCACGCCUCGCCGUGGGAGCUCCCCUCGGCAUGGCCUCCUCCUCGCCGCCCCCGAGCUCCACCGCCUCCCGCGACGACGACGACGACGACCGCCGCCAAGGUACCGCCCGCGUCCACCCCUCUCCCCCCUCCCUCCCACGCCUUUCCCUUCCACCCCUUGGUUUCUAUCUUCUCCGGCAAGAACAAGGCCACCGCGCAGCCCGCGCCCGCUCCGACGACCCUCUUCUCUCCUCUCACCAUCACCGACGACGGGAGCAUCCGCGCGCGCGCAGCCCGCCGCCGAUCUCGCAUUCCCCCCUCCGCUCCCUCUGCUCCGCGCACGAGACGAGGGUUCUGCGAGGGUUUUAAAUCAAAUUAAUUCCACUCCAGUCAUUCAAUUCCGUCCGUCUAUGGCGCAGAUGCGAUGUGGGAGAGGCGGACGCACGCGAGGAUCCUGGUCUCGGACGCCGACGCGGGCUGCAUCAUCGGCAAGGCCGGCUCCGACGUCCACGCCAUGGAGGCCCGCUCCGGGGCCCACAUCAAGCUCUCCGGGCGAGGCCGGCCCCUCCCCGGUACGGACCGCAGGGUCGUCCUCGUCUCCGGCCUCUUCCGCACCGUCAUGGACGCCGCAGAGCUCGUCCUCGAGAAGCUCUUCUACCUGGUAAUAAAGUCGUAGACCAGACAUUCAGAUUCAGGGCCAUCGCCCUCUGCCUCCCUGUAAAACAUUUCUUCAGAGUUACACUCAGUCGACUGAAUUGGUUCAGAGCAGUUUCAUCUUCUCCUGUUGAUUGAUGGAUUGAUCCUCUGCUCUGCUCUGCUUGCAGGGCGACCAGGUGAUUGACGCUGAGGCCACCGUGGUGCUCGUGGUGCCCGACGCCUGCUGCGGCGCGCUCAUCGGCAAAGGAGGGGAGGUCAUCAAGUAUGAUUACUUACUUACAUUGCCUUCCCGUUCUCAUGCUCAAUAUUGCUGUGCUUGCUUGUUCUGCUUACUCUGCCUGCAAUGAACCAUAUGAUAUAUGCUCUCCACCACACAAGGCCCAAGGACGGUGCAGUGCAAGUGCCCCCCUUGCUCUCUAUCUAUCUACACACAUGUUUGGUUUACGGCAGCGCAAUUACAUGUUUGGCGAGCCUUCCUCUGCCGCCGUCGCUGAAAUGUGAUCAUGAGUUUCGUCCAUUCGGAGGGAUAAUUCAUAACAGUUUGCAGCACAUUACUAUACUACCUGUUCUGUCAUCUCCGUAUCUACCUAGUACAUUUGAUUGGCCGCUGUGGAAUUGCAUAUUUUGGAGCCUUGUUUGGAAUCGUCAUGAAAAAAUACGUCUGCCGGCAUUGCUGAAAUUGCAAUGCAAGUGACCCUUUUAUCUGUAUCUGUUCCAACGGUGCUGCUGUUAUUUAAUUACUGUCUUUAAGCCAUGUUUGUGUAUGUCAUCGCACGUAAACAGAGGCGUGCUGUACGUUCCAGCUUCAGCUCUGCUUCUUCAGUUCCACUAUAUGGGAGUAGUUUUAGCUUCCAUUUACUAUUCAGAACAUUAGCUUGCGUUUACUAUUUGGGGGCCUGCCCUCCACGGCUCCACCAGCACCCGUCAUCAUAUUUCAUCUUCUUUUAAUUCUACUUCUCAGAUAUUCCAAAUCUGAUAUCUGUUCCCCUUUUUGUUCAUCAUCCAGGUCCUUAGCUGAGGAGUCAAAUGCUGGAAUCAUGGUCUCACCCCACGACAUCUGCUACGGUUUCCAUGAUAGACUGGUUACGAUCACUGGACACUUGGACAAUCAGCUGCAGGCAGUAUUUCUUAUACUGUCCGAGUUGCUUGACGACGUCCGCUACUCAUCCUCCGUUGCAAGUAUGUCUGCAUAACUUUCAUUUAGCACUGGUAUUUCUGUUUUUGUCGUUUUAUCCAUUGCCUGCUACCCAAUUUGUUGCAUGUUGUCUGCCUUGAGGCAUUUUAGUUUAGUGGACUAUCUACCACAGGCUCAAAGACUUGCAGUAAGAUUGAACCUGAGCAAUGCGUCGCUUCCUAAUCGUUUCUGCUAUGUUUACGUGCCGACGUGAUCGAUUAGCAUUACAAUUUGCUGGCACUGAGGUGCUACCUACUAGCUCGUAUGCUAUCACCUUUUGCAGUAACUAAUUGGCUCAUCGCAUUUCUCAAAAACUCAGGCCUUAGUUUUCCAAGUUCAAGUGUUCGGUAUGGCGGUGAUGGGCAAGAUGAGCAUGUCGAAAGAUACCACAGCAGGGUAAGACAUCGUUGCUGAAUUGAAAUACACAUGUACAUGUUGUGAUAAGAUAUCCUCUUAACCUGGAUUGGAUUGCCUUCUCUUCAUGUAUAGUUGGUCUGUUCAAUGAAGCUUCUCUUCUCGGUACAUGUCUGGCUAACAAUAACAAGUGUUUAGAAUUUAAUAGGAAGUGAGGGGAGUUUAGAAGAGUAUGAGAAAAAAAAAGGUUUUGUUCUCUAUUUCUUUUAUUCUGUCGUAAUGCUUGUUGGUCAUCCACUAGAGUAGAAUCUUGAUUUUCUGUCAGAGGUAAUCGUUGUCAAAUGACAAGAAAGUACAUAAUUUCAAUGCAGAAAAUUAAAGUUCUUAUUAUAGUCAUGUAAAAUACCGUAGGUUCACUCCUACUGUCUAGUAUAUUUUAUGCUUCAAAAAAUAUAAAGCAUGUGCUGACUGUUAUAUUUGUAAAGAAGAAAUAUAUUUUAUUUUUGUCAAAGGACUCACCCUAAUCCAACAGGCAUAUUAUUGAAAUGAAAUUGUGGGCUUGACUCUAACCUGUUAAUCUGAUUUACAUAUGCAAACGUUUGUGUAGUUUCAUGCACCCAAUUAAGUCCCAAGUCCCUUUUCGCUUCAUAUUCGCAUCAUUAUCCAGGGACCAUAAAACACCUCUCGCUAUUUUCAUAUAUAGUGGUUGCAAAUUAUCUACCGUUCAUGCCCAGUGUACCAAAUAAGCCUCCGCCGCGAAACCUGAACCAUCUUCUCAUUGAAUUCGUUAGCCUGACACACCCGUGAGAUCGCCUGACUACGACAGCCAUGUGCAAGGGACCCUCACCAUGGGUGUCGCGGACGAGUACGUGGGCGCUGUCAUUGGCUAUGGCGGGAGGACCAUACAAGAGAUCGAACGGGCACGUACAUAUCUCUCCCGCACCACCGAAACGCAACCACAAACAGUUAAGCAACAGGGCUAUGUUUUGGACUAAUGGUUCGUCGUCGGAGUGCAGGUUACGGGCGUGCAGAUCAAAAUCGUGAAGGGGGAGUUCAUACCUGGGACGAACGAGAGGUAGGUACUACAGCAGGUUUUAGUCGGUGUUUGCGUGUUCUUUACCCGCGAAAUCAGGCCCGCCUGAAUGUCAUUUAACCUGCACUGUGUGUGUGGUGCAGGGAGGUGGUGAUCAGCGGGACACGGGAGGCGGUCGAUGCGGCGGAGGCGAUGAUCGUGCAGCGGGUCUCGGACGCCGCCAAAGGUCGCCGCUGGCAGCAGGGUGGCGGCGGUGGCGACAGGCGGCCUGUGAAGGAAGUGGAGUAGCAGCGGUAGUAGCGGUGAUACAGCAGAGCAGAGCAUAGUACUGAAUUACUGCUGGUGGUGGUAGUAGAACAAGAGAUGUCCCAAGUUUUUUGGUCCCUUGCGUGUUGCUGGAGAAGUUAAUUAGCAAGAAUUAGUUGGGAGGGGAAGGCAUGGUGCAAUCACUGAUGGUUGCACGGCUAGUUUUGGUUUUGGUCAAUAUUGCUUCCAUGUUUGAUACUAGUGUAUGUAUCCGUGCCUUGUGUUUCAGUGAGAGGAUGGACGGAUUAUUCCUCUGGAUUUGAUUUAUCCAGCCCAAGAGGAGAGGAGUUUUGAAAUGGAAGUCUUAAGCAAAGUUGUUUUUACUUGCACACAAAGGCCCUGUUCGGUAAUCACCCGCUCCCAAAAUCUACGGAGCGGCGAAACUGUAGCUCCUCUGAUUUGAACUGCAGCUCCGCCAACUCCGCUCCUGGAGUUGUGGAGCGGAGCGGUACCGAACAGGGCCAAACUUGGAUGAUCUGAUCCGUCCUCGCUUCCCUUCUGGGCUUCUCCCCACUUCCAUAGAGCUCNNNNNNNNNNNNNNNNNNNNNNNNNNNNNNNNNNNNNNNNNNNNNNNNNNNNNNNNNNNNNNNNNNNNNNNNNNNNNNNNNNNNNNNNNNNNNNNNNNNNNNNNNNNNNNNNNNNNNNNNNNNNNNNNNNNNNNNNNNNNNNNNNNNNNNNNNNNNNNNNNNNNNNNNNNNNNNNNNNNNNNNNNNNNNNNNNNNNNNNNNNNNNNNNNNNNNNNNNNACUCCACCUUGUUAGGUUGAUCUCCUCUGUGCAGGCCCAACGGCCUGCCAGGCCCUUGAUCAAUGCGCCUUGAUCGGGGGCGCCCAACCCAUUAUGGUUGGUGGGCCUCUGUGACCCGCGCUAUAUAAACAAAGAUGGGGGCCGGGGCACGACUUACGAGGUUAAUCGCUGCCGCAAACCCCACCGAUAUUCCCUACCGAUUUAGGGUUAGCGCGGUGCUCACGGAAAGCUCCACUACCGCCGCCAUCCACUCACUGCCAUCACCGGCCACCGUCACCAUGGCCGGCACCGGGAGUUCCUCAUCUGGACCAGGAGAAGGUAGGUUCACCAGGAGUUUCUAGCCUAUCCGAUCCAGAGACUCUAUCAAUGGUAUCAGAGCCAUUUUUCUCACUAUCAGUUGCAACUCCACCAAUGCUAACUAUGGGGGUAGACUAGAACCUGUCCGUCAGGAGCCGACUGAACCCGUUGUUGAGCAUGAAAGGGAGGUGCAACAGCAAAUUUUAGAAGAAGUGCCAGAAGUUGAGGCACAGAAUGUGCCAGAAACCGAGGCCCUUAGAAGGUCUACAAGACACCAAAAGUCAGCUAUUUCUACUGAUUAUAAAGUUUAUAACACGGAAAUAGUUCAUACAGAAAAAGAUCCCACCUCAUAUGAAGAAGCCAUGAGAAGCCCUCAUUCAUCGAUGUGGAUAAAGGCAAUGAAAGACGAGAUGAAAACGAUGAGUUCCAAAGAUGUUUGGGACUUAGAGGAAAUUCCUAAAGGAGUCUAAACAGUAGGCUACAAAUGGGUCUAUAAAAUUAAGUAUAACUUUAAAAGGAAUGUAGAAAAGUAUAAAGCACGACUCGUGGCAAAAGGAUUUACGCAAAGAGAAGGGAUAUAUUACAAUGAGACAUUUUCUCCAGUCUCAUGUAAGGAUUCCUUCAGAAUCAUAAUGGCAUUAGUUGCUCAUUUUGAUUUAGAGUUGCAUCAAAUGGAUGUAAAGACGGCAUUUCUCAAUAGGGAUUUAAAAGAAAAUGUCUACAUGAAACAACCCAAGGGUUUUAUCAUGGAAGGCAAGGAAAAUAUGGGAUGCCGCCUGAAGAAAUCCAUUUAUGGAUUAAAGCAAGCCUCUAGACAGUGGUAUCUAAAGUUUAAUCAAACGAUUAAAAGUUUAGGAUUUAAAGAAAAAAUUGAGGAUAACUGCAUUUAUGCAAAGUUUAAAAUGGAAAAUAUAUUUUCCUAAUCUUGUAUGUGGAUGAUAUCCUGCUUGCUAGCAGUGAUGUUAGUCUACUACAAGAAACAAAGAAGUUCUUAUUCUUAGAUUUUGACAUAACAGAUCUUGGUGAAGCAUCAUAUGUUUUGGGCAUAGAAAUUCAUCGAGAUAGGAACAAUGGAGUCUUAGGACUAUCGCACAAGGGAUAAUUUGAAAAAGGUUCUUAAAAAGUAUAAUAUGCAUGCGAGCCACACCUGCUCCUAUAUUCAAGGGUGAUAGUUUUGGGAAAUUCCAAUGUCCCAAGAAUUAGUACGAGAUCGAUCAAAUGAAAGCAGUACCAUAUGCUUUGGCUGUUGGCAGCUUACAGUAUGCACAAGUGUGCACUCGCCCUGUCUUAGCUUUUAUCACCGGGGUACUCGGUAGAUAUGAAGAGAAUCCAGGCAUAGAGCACUGGAAGAUGGUAAAUAAAGCAUUGCGUUAUGCACAAGACACGAAGGACUACAUGCUAAUAUACAGGAGAAGUGAUUUCCUAGAGAUAAAAGGGUAUUCCGACGCAGAUUUUGCGGGGAAGAGAGAUGGUAGAAAAUCCUCGUCAGGAUACGUAUUCACUCUCGCUGAGGGAGCUAUUCGUGGAAAAGCUCCAAGCAGUCGAUAGUUGCAUCAUCCACGAUGUAUGCAGAAUUUAUAGCAUGCUUCGAGCCCACGGGGCAGGCGAUAUGGCUAAAGAAAUUUAUACCCGACUUGAAAGUGGUAGAUUGUAUUCACAAACCACUAAAGAUGUACUGUGACAAUCAAUCCGCAGUAUUUUACGCUCACAACAAGUCGAGUAAUGCUGCCAAAACAAUAGAGAUAAGGUAUUAUGUUGUGAAAUAUAAAAUCCAGGAUCAAACUAUAAGUCUCGAGCAUAUAAGGACAAAGGAUAUGCUUGCGGAUCCGCUAACGAAAGGCUUACCACCCAAUGUGUUCAAGAAACACUUAGCCGGCAUGGGUUUAAGGGAAAGCCUUAUGAUUUCUGGAUAGGCCCAAAAGGAAUAGAAUUUGCUUCUGAACAUAACGUAUGUUGUAGCUGUAUGAUUCUAUCGGCAAUUAAGUUGUGACGAUGAAACAUGUUCUAUGUACCAAUAUAUGAUGAAACAAAUAAACUAGAAAGUAUAAAGUUAAAAAUAAAGUUGAGAUCAAGGGUGAGAAUGUUAGGUUGGUCUCCUCUGUGCAGGCCCAACGGCCUGCCAGGCCCUUGGUCAAUGUGCCCUGAUCGGGGGCGCCCAACCCAUUAUGGUUGGUGGACCCCCAUGACCCGCGCUAUAUAAACAAAGGUGGGGGCCGGGGCACGACUUACGAGGUUAAUCGCUGCCGCAAACCCCACCGAUAUUCCCUACCGAUCUAGGAUUAUCGCGGUGCUCACGGAAAGCUCCACUACCGCCGCCAUCCACUCACUGCCAUCACCGGCCACCGUCACCAUGGCCGGCAUCAGGAGUUCCUCAUCUAGUCCAGGAGAAGGUAGGUUCACCGGGAGUUUCUAGCCUAUCCGAUCCAGAGACUCUAUCACACCCUUCCCACAUCCCCCCUCCCGACCUCAUCGGCAUACAACGAUGUUUGUUUGUUUGAGCUUUAAUGUGUUCCUGAGCUCACCGCAAAUGUUCACGAAGCAAGGCAAGAAAAUCUUUCCGGUCCGCCGCCUACUCUGCUAGGGAAGUAGGUCACCGGUGUCAAUUGACAGUACCGAAAUUAGGCUCAAUUCCAUACAAAAGCUUUCAAGGGUGACAAGUGGUCAUAUUUUUAAGAGUAGGUUAUUAUCUACUGCCUCCGUUCCUAAAUAUUUGUCUUUUUAGACAUUUCAAAUGACUACUACAUAUGAAUGUAUGUAGACAUAUUUUAAAGUGUAGAUUCAUUUAUUUUGAUUCGUAUGUAGUCAUUUAUUAAAAUGCCUAGAAAGACAAGUAUUUAGAAACGGAGGAAGUAAAAAGAAGUAGGUAGGUUGUUAAUACUCCCUCCAUUCCUUAUUUUAAAACAUCCUUGGGCUUCUUCGUGGGCUUCAGUAUGCAUUUAGCACUGAAGCGAAUGAAAUAAUUUUUAUUGAUCAAAGAAAGAUGGUAAAAAGGGUCUAAAAUUGAUGUAUGAAAAAACACGGCCAACUGAGACCCUCGGUAUAAACAAAGUUACAUCAAGUUUAACCACUUGGCAUGAGUGGUAAACUAUAUCAAAAAUAAUUGUACAAUAAAAAAAAGUUUGACCAAACUUGUCGUUUCUUGAUCACCCAUUCACAUCGGUGGGUUCUUACAAGCCUCUAGUGAAAAACCUGCAACAGAUAUGUUUGACAAAGUCGCAUGACCCUCACAUCCCAAUUGCGGAACUAAAAGACCGCUUGCUGAAUACAACAAGCCCAGGUGACAAAUUAAAUUGCUUGAAAGGAAGGAUGCCGAAAUAAUGAUUCAUUAAUGAGACGGGUAUAAAUAAAGAGUUCAAAAGCACGAAAAAAGAGAGGAGAGAUGUGGCCAAAACUCAAAAACAUCAUCGCUAUCACAAACAAAAAUAUGUGCCAAUGUUGUUUGUGUGAAGUCCAGAAAAGAAAAUAUGUAACAGUGAAAUUUUAUAAAGACACACUUACAUCCGUAUGUACAUGUACAAAAAAAAUCCAGAUUUAUUUGAUAUAGUGAGUUAUUUUAAAAAGUGGUACACGUCCAAAAAGAGUUUUUCGAUGGAAUAAAGCCACAUGUACUUCAUUUCACAAUCUUUUUUUUUUGCGGAAGACUUCAUUUCAUAAUCAUACAACAUCAUGUUCACUGCGACGGUGGUGAAACAUGGUUCAUUUGUUCCACACCAGUACACACAACAUUUCGAACUUGCAUGUUUAAAAUAAACUCUGAAUAUCCUCAAGAAAACAUAGUAGGAACUAGGGAUGAAUUAUAGCCGCCUAAAAACCAUCCAGAAAUAUGAUUAGUUGAGUUCUAGAGAGAACAACGACAAAAGGUAGCACAACAAUUCUGCAGGACACAAGUGGUCAUAUUUUUAGAAGUAGGUUAUUAUUAUCUAAAAAUAAGUAGGUUGAUCCGGUACAUCCCUACAUAUCACUAUGUUGUUUUGAGGUUUUCAUUUCCCUGACAAUUCACAAACUUCAAAACCUUCUUGGGGUUUUCACUCUUCGUGGGCUUUCAGUCUCCAAACCUUGUUUUGGGCUUCCCUUUCUUUUGGGCUCUUCUUCGUCCAAACUCUCUACACCGUCCAUUUCGAACCUACGCUGGAGGCCCCCAAUCGCGUCCCGGAAGCCCGCUUCUCCUUUCCCAUCGACGCCCGCGACGCCUUCAUGAUCCUCGGAUGCCGCCAUGGCCUCAUGCUCAUCUCUCUUUGGACGUUGAACGUGCUCCUGGUACGGGAUCCCGUCACGGGUGACCAGCACUUCCUAGACAUCCCCCCAGGGUUCGACAAGGAGGAAACCGUGAUUAACGGGGCGGUGCUUCGUGCUGCCGGAGAGGCCCACCAUUUCCAGGUUGUCUUGGUAGGCAACAACGACGUACAGCUUACACAGGCUGUGGCCUUGGUGUACUCGUCGGAGACCGGUGUAUGGGGUGAUCUCACCUCGACACUGCUUCCGACCAAGGAUCCUACCAGUGAUGUACCCACCACGAUUUUGGUCGUCUGCUCUGUGAUGGUUGGGAGUUCCAUUUACUGGAUGCUUACUGGGAAUUGGUUUGGAAUACUUGAAUUUAAUGUGGAUAGGCAGAGCCUAAGUGUGAUUGAUGUGCCAGUGGACGUCGAUGCGGGGAGGUGCUCCUUCACGGUUAUGCAUGCGGAGGGUGGUGGCCUUGGUUUCCUCUUCCUGUCGGGCUACUGCAUCGAAUUAUGGAAGAGGAAGACGGACUGUGAUGGUGUAGCUUCAUGGGUGCUGGGAAGAACUGUUGCACUAGACAAGCCACUUUCCAUGAAUUCAGAGGAGGGGAGUCAAAGCCCAAGGAUACUCUGGUUUGCUGAGGACAAUAAUGCGGUGUUAGUGCGGACAUUUAUCGGCAUCUUCAUGGUCCAGUUUGAAUCAUUGCAGUUUAAGAAACUUUUUGAAUCCUACUGCUGGUUUCACUUUUAUCCAUUUGAAGGUGUCUAUACCGCAGGUAAAAAGAAACAAAGUUAGUAUUAUAUAGUCUUGUAUUGUUGUUAUUGUGUUAUGUGGUUUGAGUCAGAGGUAGCAGACACUUCAUCUGUUUAUUCUAUGGAUGUCCAUACAGUAAAACAACGGACAUGAUGAUUUGCAGAAGCAAUUUAUUUGAGGUGGAUUGGCAUAUUAUGUGUAUAAUAAGUGAACUAUUUUCGUUAUUGUUGCAGGCCUAUUGACAUGGUCAAGGGUUUCAUUAUGAGAUAGAACUGAAUUUUUUUCUCGAAUUAUAGCAGUGUGUUUAUCUAAAUGUUCGUUGGAAUCUCAUUGGUUCCUUGACUUCCUAUUUUUGUAGAUGCUCGCAUUGAUGAUGGACAUGGUGGAGCUAAACUUUUGCGCGAUACAUAGUAUGAUCUGUCUGGAUAGAUGCUAUCUUGAAUUCGUGAUGUAUUGGUCAGGUGACUAUUUGUUAGUGGUAGCAGAAUGAAAUAUUUUCCCUUUCCUUUCCUUUUCCUGGUUGCUAUGUCGCAUUUUUUUUUCUGUGGUUAUGGAUCUGUCAAGUUUGAGGAUGAUUUAUCUGUUGUUCCCUGAAUUCAGAUUUGUAUUGGUAACUAACACCACCUGUCCACCUCAGCUCUUGGCUUCAUACUUCCUUUGUUAUACAUGCUUCACACUAUUGCUUUCUUAGGGAAAACAUUUCACAUUACUGCUCAUCCAGGAACAUUAUAAUACAUAAUGCUCGCUUGCAAAUAUUGUACAAUUAUGCUAAUUUUAGGCAGGUCUAGUUAAAUAUUUUCACGACGUAUAUCUAUUUGUCAGUCUAAUUCUCAUAACCUCCAACAUAGCGUGUCUUAUCCAAAGUACAUAUUGGCUGUUGUAGUGGUUUAUGUGCAGUAUAAUUUCUCCGACUUUUGUCAUUAUAGAUGCUUAAUAAUUUCUGUACUGAAUCCAUGAUCAAAAUUGUUAGAGUUAUAUAUAUAUAGCCAUGUAACCUUUCGUAUUUACCCUAUUGUAUAAGGGGUUUCCUGCAUAUAUUCCACACCUGUACAUGUAUAUAUACUGGCCUAUGGCCAUCUGGAAAUACAAGUUGCAUAUUUCCUAACAUGGUAUUAGAGCUAGGUCAAUUUUUUACACGCCGCAACUCGUGCCAUUGAUCUGCUACUCCAGCCGCUGGGUUUCAUCUGCCUGCCUCGCCCCGCGGUCUUCCUCUGCCCCUCCUGAUCGAUCUGAUCGCCCGCCAGGUCUCCCGAUCAAUCUGGUCGCUCCGCCCUGCCCCGCAGUUGGGCCUUGGGCCUCUCCCGAUCUGGUUACUUCUUCCGAUCUGGUCGCUGUCGCUCCACAGAUGGGGCUUCUCCCCAUCGGUCGCUCGUCCCGCAGUCUUUGUUCGCCUCGUCACCAACCCAGGCGCCGUCUCGUACAAGCUCCGUCGCCCGCCAGAUCGUGUCCUGGACCAGGAUCUCAGCCACCAGCUACCAAUCCCGGAUCCCAGACCGCAGUCCUGCCCAUCCGCCAGGUCCUGCCCACGAUCUAGCCGCCAGGUCGUCGCUACUGUAGCCGGGUCCCACCUGCCCUCGAUCCAGGAUCCUGAUCGUCUAUCCAAAAAAAAGGCGUGAUGUCUCUGUCCUCCGGCUAUGUUGCUGUUCCUCGCUGUCCGAUGACUUUUGAUGGUACCAACUACAUUGAGUUUGUCGGCUUCAUGCGCAUUCACAUGCGUGGCCUUCAUCUCUGGCGCGUUCUUUCUGGCGAGGUCCCCAGUCCGCCGUGUCCAGUUCCUCCUGUGGCUCCUACUCCACCGACGCCACCGGUUCUUGCUGCCGACGCUGAUCAGGCUGCAAAGGAUGCCGCUAAGCUGGCUGAUGACGCUGCCGUUCUUGCUUAUGAUGAGCAAGUUCAGACCUAUGUGCACGCACUUCAGACUUAUCAUGCAGCUCUGUCUGCUUACACUCAGUGGCUUGAUGAUGAUGCUCGUGCUGCCGCUGUUCUCACUGCUAGUGUUCUGCCUCAGUUUGCCUCUGAGUUUCUUGGCCUCUCUACUAUAUUUGAGAUCUGGACUCGGCUUCGUCAGCGCUAUCAGCCCUCUGGUGAUGCCUUAUACCUGUCUGUGGUUCGUCAGGAGCAUGCUCUUCAGCAGGGUGACUCCACUGUUGAUGAGUUCUAUGCACAGAGUUCUGCUAUCUGGCGUCAGCUUGAUUCUCUCCGCACUGCUGGUUGCCGUACUUGUCAGUGUUGCCAGGCUGUGCGGGCUGAUUUGGAGUUUCAUCGUGUCUACGAGUUCUUGUCUCGACUCCGUAAGGAGUUUGAGCCCCGGCGCGCUCAGUUGUUUGCUCGUGGUCAUAUCUCCCUCAUGGAGGCGCUUUCUAAGAUCCGUGCCGAGGAGACUCGCCUCCGUGGUGCUGGUUUACUUGAGGUUCCCUCUGUGCUCGCUACUCGAGUUCCUGCUAUGACUGCUGCACUGACUCCUUCCCACUCGAGUGCUCCUCCGCUCUUGCCUACUCCUAUGGGCGGCCAGGGUCGAUCUCGUCCUCACUUCGGCUACUGCAAGAUGGAUGGUCAUGUUGAGUCUCAGUGCUUCUAGAAGAAGAAACACCUGCGUAAGGCGCGAUCAUCAGCUUCAGGGACUUCUUCUACUUCGACAUCUUCAGCCACCGCCUUGACUGAGAAGGAUAUUCUACGACUUAAGCGUCCGCUUGCCGCUUCAGGUUCUCCUUCGGCGGGUACUGCAGGUUCUGUGACUAAUGCUUCCCGCACUGAGCAACCACGCUCUACACAGUCAGGUACAUCCUCGUGGGUUCUGGACUCCGGAGCUUCUUUUCAUAUGUCUUUCUCCCACGGUUUCCUCACCUCGCAUGUCACCAGAUUCUGCAACUUCAUCCUCGGUGAUUUCUUCGUCUCCACCUCCUGAUUCUACCUCGGCUAUUCCUCGUAUUCUUCCAUCUUUGCCUCAGUAUUACACUCGUCGUUCACGUAAUGUGGAUGUGUCUGCUGAUGUGUCGUCCUUCUCGUCUCAGCCAACCUAUGGCUUGCGUCCUUGCCCGCUUCCGCCUGUUGAUCGCCUUGGUUUUUCAACCACUGGUGCUGUUGUUCUUGAGCCGACUUCUUAUCGUGAGGCUGCUGUUCAUCCUGAAUGGCAGUUUGCGAUGGCAGAGGAGAUUGCUGCUCUUGAACGCAUUGGUACAUGGGAUCUUGUUUCUCUUCCUCCCGGUGUCCGUCCCAUCACUUGUAAGUGGGUCUACAAGGUUAAGACUCGCUCUGAUGGUUCUCUUGAGCGUUACAAAGCUCGUCUUGUGGCUCGUGGUUUUCAGCAGGAGCAUGAUCGUGAUUAUGAUGAGACAUUUGCUCCUGUGGCCCAUAUGACCACUAUCCGUACACUUCUUGCCGUGGCCUCUGCACGCCACUGGUCUGUAUCUCAGCUUGAUGUUAAGAAUGCCUUUCUUAACGGUGAGCUACGUGAGGAGGUAUACAUGCAACCACCACCUGGGUAUUCUGUUCCUGAUGGCAUGGUAUGUCAUCUUCGUCGCUCUCUCUAUGGCCUUAAGCAAGCCCCCCGCACCUGGUUUGAGCGUUUUGCCUCUGUGGUGACUGCCGCUGGUUUUUCAGCGAGUGCUCAUGAUCCAGCAUUGUUUGUCCACCUUUCUCCUCGUGGUCGGAUUCUUCUUCUUCUCUAUGUUGAUGACAUGAUCAUCACUGGCGAUGACCCCGAGUAUAUUGCCUUUGUAAAGGCCCGUCUUAGUGAGCAGUUUCUUAUGUCUGAUCUUGGACCUCUACGCUACUUUCUUGGAAUUGAAGUCUCUUGUACCUCUGAUGGCUUUUUUAUAUCCCAGGAAAAGUAUAUAUAGGAUCUUCUUGUUCGUGCUGCUCUUACCGAUGAGCGCAUUGUUGAGACUCCCAUGGAGCUCAAUGUUCACCUUCGUGAUACUGAUGGUGACCCCUUGCCUGACCCGACGCGUUAUCGUCAUCUUGUUGGGAGUCUUGUCUAUCUAGCUGUCACUCGUCCGGAUAUCUCCUAUCCGGUUCAUAUUUUGAGUCAGUUUGUCUUCGCCCCCACUUCGGUUCACUAUAGUCACCUCCUUCGUGUUCUCCGAUAUCUUCGGGGCACGAUCUCUCACCGUCUAUUCUUUGCUCGCUCCAGUUCUUUACAGCUUCAGGCCUAUUGAGAUGCUACGUGGGCUAGUGAUCCCUCCGAUCGCCGUUCACUUUCUGCUUACUGUGUUUUUCUUGGUGGUUCUCUCAUUGCUUGGAAGACGAAGAAACAGACUGCAGUUUUCCGUUCGAGUGCAGAGGCUGAGUUAUGAGCUAUGGCUCUUUUGACGGCAGAGGUGACUUGGUUACGGUGGUUACUUCAGGAUUUUGGUGUUUCUGUUACUACACCUACUCCGCUCUUGUCUGACAGUACAGGUGCUAUUAGCAUUGCGCGCGAUCCUGUGAAGCAUGAGCUCACCGAGCAUAUUGGUGUUGAUGCUUUCUAUGUGCGCGCUGGUGUGCAGGAUUAGGUUAUUGCUCUUCAGUAUGUGCCUUCCGAGUUACAGUUGGCGGAUUUUCUGACGAAGGCCCAAACUAGAACGCAACAUGGCUUCUAUCUCUCCAAACUCAGUGUUGUUAAUCCACCAUGAGUUUGAGGGGGGGUGUUAGAGUUAUAUAUAUAUAGAGAGAGAGUCAUGUAACCUUUCGUAUUUACCCUAUUGUAUAAGGGGUUUCCUGCAUAUAUUCCACACCUGUACAUGUAUAUAUACUGGCCUAUGGCCACCUGGAAAUACAAGUUGCAUAUUUCCUAACAAAAAUGACAUGUCUAGAUUCAUACUAAACACUUGUCUCGUCAGGAGUAGUUGCCAAUGUUUUGUUUUUGAUACUGUGCAGAGUAAAAAAGGCGUUGUCUAUUUGAACCGAAGGAAGUAUCAGUUCAUAAAAUGAUGCAUUAUAAUUUACUUGAGGCUUUCAGUGGAUGAAUUUGAUUAAGUUUGAUUUUUUAGUGACUAUCUAGCUUGUACUCCCUCCGUUCAUAAAUAUAAGAUGCUUUAGCUUUUGGCCACCUUCCACACGUAUCAAAUGUAUCUAGACAUGCUCUAGUGUGUACAUUCAUUCAUUUUAGUAUGAAUCUAGACAACAUGUGGAACACCUAAAACAUCUUAUAUUUAAAAACGGAGGGAGUACAUUUCUAAUGAGUAUGCCCAUGAGCUAGAAAACAAACGAUUCAGCUCAAUUAACUGCCGUCCUAUUGCUGUUCUCGCUUUGUACUGUUGGUUUUCUCCAAUAUUGCUGAGUUGAUUUGACCUAAAGCCUUUGGCACAAUUUCCACAUCAUCGAAGCUCUAAUGCUUACUGUCCGAACUGUACACAAGUUGUGAGAUAAUUUCCAUGCAUCAAAUAAUUGAGUAUUACAAAUCUGUUUGACUAGCUUCACUGAUUGGUCGACAGGUAACAAGAGUUAGGUUUCGGAUGGCUGAGAUGCAGAAAUGGACUCUUUGUUUCAGGCUCUUCCAUCCUGUAUGCUGCGCAUGGGGCCUGUAAUGUGCUCCACAAGGGAAUUUGACCCGCUAUGUGUCAUGCCCUGGUCAAAUGUGCCGUGAACUAGUAGGAAUUAACAUGUCCUGGUCAACUGUAACUGGAGUUAAUCUUCUGACUUAUGAACUAUCCGUCUGUUAUCUGAUUUCUCUAGGAAAGAUUGGAACUAGCUUGAAGAGAAAUUAACUUCCUUCUGUUAAUGCAUUAGCGUUGGCCUUGUCACUGAAUCUUGCGUUAAUGCAUUAGCGUUGUAUUUUUUGUCCAGCAUCAUUUGCUUAUGUGCCACAAAAUUCCUGCUUAAGCCUAUGAUGUUUGCUCAUCCUUUUUGUGUGUCUCGAUCUGUAUUUCAAAGGGAUAUCAUUGCUCAAGGGAUGCCUUUAUGAGUUGUACUAAUUUGCGCAUAUUCAGUAGCAAUGCUGGUGCUGGGAUUAUUUUCUUCUUCUCUCUGUGAGUUAUGGUGAAGGCUGAAAACCUGGAGACACUAUGGCCUAUCCAUAAUGCUGCCAGUGCUGGCGACAGGUCUCCCCUUCCGGCUGCCGCCUCAUCUGCCCUACAACUUAUUUUUGAAUUCACUAACGGUAUGAACAAAGGGCUACUGUUAUUCCUGCUCCAGGUACUGUCAAAAGCUGAUCCAAGCCACCUGGAGACUCGCCGUAAAUCAACAUCGACGGCUCGUCCUGGCGAGAAACAAGCAUGGGACAUGGGGUUGAGACGGUCUGACGCUCAGAGAUUGGGAUGGAAAACUUUCUCAUGUAGCUGAGUAGCUGACGGCCUGACGCUCUCCAUGCGCGCUGAGACGGUCGACAGCCUGAAGGCCAUCGACUUCGUUGCCGAGGCAGGUAUGGGGCGUAUGACCAUAGAAACUGAUGAAAUGAAAUGAAACAGUACUGAAGUCUGCCCCCCAAACCAGUAACUUCGAUAUGGCUCGCCCAUGGAGUGCUCUCUCGAGAAGCAAAGAUAUCUUUGUGCUUACCGUCUUGUCUAUAGUUUAGCUCUGGGUGGUGUCAUGCUCAGUACCAUGGCAUGGAAAUGUACCGGUCAGAGAUUUGGCUGCAAAAGAUUAUCAAUACAGCCCACCCAUUCCUGUCUGGAAAAUAACCGAAUUCUUUCAUGAGUUAACCUCUUGAGAAAUGAAAUACACAUACAGACAGUGUAUGCAUGUGUCUUUUUAUAGACAAAAUGGAAGGAUCUUGCCCUGUCUAAGUAGUAUCAUCCUGGAAUUGCGGAUACCCAUUUAGGCUCCCGGGAGCACGUGUUUCUACGCCCGAAAAAUAACAAUUCCAACAUGCAUACACUGGUGCCAAGCCCGGAUAAAGGAGGAGGAUUAUAAUAGGCUUAGCGAGCUAACGUGAAAACUCAUCCACUCUUAUGGAGAUGAAAACUGCGCGCUAUAUCUUGAUCCGGAUAUGAUGGCAAGUGAGCGAGGAUUGGGUCGUCGCAUCCUUAGUGGCGCGCUACAUCGGCACCCAGAUGUAGUGCAAAAUGAGCAAGGGUCUUUGCACUUGACUCGACGAGUGCGAAGGGUAAGGAAGCUGGCCGAGCCUAGGAGGAUUCGUUUAGGUAGCUGGAACGCAGGGUCUCUGACAGGGAAGCUUCGGGAGCUAGUUGAUGCAACAGUGAAGAGAGGUGUUGAUAUCCUUUGCAUCCAAGAAACCAAAUGGAGAGGACAGAAGGCAAAGGAGGUGGAGGAUACCGGCUUCAAACUGUGGUACAUGGGGACGGAUGCAAACAGAAAUGGCGUAGGCAUCUUGAUCAACAAGAGCCUCAAGUAUGGAGUGGUAGACGUCAAGAGACGUGGGGACCAGAUUAUCCUGGUCAAGCUGGUAGUUGAGGACUUGGUUCUCAAUGUUAUCAGCGCGUAUGCCCCACAAGUAGGCCACAAUGAGAACACCAAGAGGGAGUUCUAGGAAGGCCUGGAAAACAUGGUUAUGAGUGUACCGAUUGGUGAGAAGCUCUUCAUAGGAGGAGACCUCAAUGGCCUCGUGGGUACAUCUAACACAAGUUUUGAAGGGGUGCAUGGGGCUUUGGCUAUGACAUCAGCAAUCAAGAAGGAGAAGAUGUCUUAAGCUUUGCUCUAGCCUACAACAUGAUUGUAGCUAACACCCUCUUUAGAAAGAGAGAAUCACAUCUGGUGACUUUUAGUAGUGGCCAACACUCUAGCCAGAUUGAUUUCAUCCUUUCGAGAAAGAGAAGAUAAGCGUGAGUGCCUAGACUUUAAGGUGAUACCUGGAGAGAGUGUUGUACCCCAGCAUAAGCUGGUGGUUGCUGACUUUCGCUUUCGGAUUCGUGUCCAGCGGGAUAAGCGUGCCAAAGUCGCUAGAACGAAGUGGUGGAAGCUCAAGGGGGAGGUAGCUCAGGCGUUCAAGAAGAGGGUCAUUAAGGAGGGCCCUUGGGAGGACGGAGGGGAUGCGGACAAUGUGUGGAUGAAGAUGACGACUUGCAUUCGUAAGGUGGCCUCGGAGGGGUUUGGAGUGUCCAGGCGAAGGAGAAGCGAAGAUAGGGAUACCUGGUGGUGGAAUGAUGAUGUCUAGAAGGCAAUUAAAGAGAAGAAAGAUUGCUUCAGACGCCUAUACCUGUAUAGGAGUGCAAACAACAUAGAGAAGUACAAGAUGGUGAAGAAGGCUGCAAAGCGAGUUGUUGGUGAAGCAAGGGGUCAGACAUAUGAGGACCUCUACCAACGGUUAGGCACGAAGGAAGGUGAAAGAGACAUCUAUAAGAUGGCCAAGAUCCAAGAGAGAAAGACGAGGGAUAUUGACCAAGUCAAAUGCAUUAAGGACGGAGCAGGCCAACUCUUGGUGAAGGACGUGGUGAGUAAGCAUAGAUGGCGGGAGUACUUCGACAAGCUGUUCAAUGGGGAGAAUGAGAGUUCUACCAUUGAAUUGGACGACUCCUUUGAUGAGACCAGCAUGCGUUUUGUGCGGCGAAUUUAGGAGUCUGAGAUUAAGGAGGCUUCAAAAAGGAUGAAAGGAGGCAAGGCGAUGAGCCCUGAUUGUAUCCCCAUUGAGGUGUGGAAAGGUCUCGGGGACAUAGCGAUGGUAUGGCUAACCAAGCUUUUCAACCUCCUUUUUCGGGCAAACAAGAUUCCAGAAGAAUGGAGACGGAGUAUAUUAGUACCAAUCUUCAAGAACAAGGGGUGUCCAGAGUUGUACUAAUUACCGUGGAAUUAAGCUGAUGAGCCAUACAAUGAAGCUAUAGGAGAGAGUCAUUGAGCACCGCUUAAGAAGAAUGACAAGCGUGACCAAAAAUCAGUUUGGUUUCAUGCAUGGGUGGUCGACCAUGGAAGCCAAUUUCUUGGUACGACAAUUUAUGGAGAGAUAUAGGGAGGAAAAUAAGGACUUGCAUAUGGUGUUCAUUGACUUGAAGAAGGUCUAUGAUAAGAUACCGCGGAAUGUCAUGUGGUGGGCCUUGGAGAAACACAAAAGUCCCAGCAAAGUACAUUACCCUCAUUAAGGACAUAUACGAUAAUGUUGUGACAAGUGUUCGAACAAGUGAUGUCGACACUAAUGAUUUCCCGAUUAAGAUAGGACUGCAUCAGGGGUCAGCUUUGAGCCCUUAUCUUUUUUGCAUUGGUGAUGGAUGAGGUCACAAGGGAUAUACAAGUAGAUAUCCCAUGAUGUAUACUUUUUUGCGGAUGAUGUGGUGCUAGUUGACGACAGUCGGACGGGGGUAAAUAGGAAGUUAGAGUUAUGGAGACAAGCCUUGGAAUCAAAAGGGUUUAGGCUUAGUAGAACUAAAACCAAAUACAUGAUGUGCGGUUUCAGUACUACUAGGUGUGAGAAGGAGGAGGUUAGCCUUAAUGGCCAGGUGGUACCCCAGAAGAACACCUUUCGGUAUCUGGGAUCAAUGCUGCAGGAGGAUAGGGGUAUUGAUGAAGAUGUGAACCAUUGAAUCAAGGCCAGAUGGAUGAAGUGGCGCCAAGGUUCUAGCAUUCUCUGUGACAAGAGAGCGCCACAAAAGCUAAAAGGCAAGUUCUACAGGACGACGGUUUGACCCGCAAUGUUGUAUGACGUUGAGUGUUGGCCGACUAAAAGGCGACAUGUUCAACAGUUAGGUGUGGCGGAGAUGCAUAUGUUGAGAUGGAUGUGUGGCCACACGAGGAAGGAUCGAGUCCGGAAUGAUAAUAUACGAGAUAGAGUUGGGGUAGCACCAAUUGAAGAGAAGCUUGUUUAACACCAUCUGAGAUGGUUUGUGCAUAUUCAACGCAGGCCUCCAGAAGCUCUAGUGCAUAGCGGGCGGCUAAAGCGUGCAGAGAAUGUCAAUAGAGGACGGGGUAGACCGAAUUUAACAUGGGAAGAGUCAGUUAAGAGAGAUCUGAAGGAUUGAAGUAUCACCAAAGAGCUAGCUAUGAACGGGGACGCGUGGAAGUUUGCUAUCCAUGUGCCAAAGCCAUAAGUUAGUUGCGAGAUAUUAUGAGUUUCAUCUCUAGCUAAUCCCGACUUGUUUGGGACUAAAAGCUUUGUUGUUGUUGUUGUUGUUGUUUAUAGUUAUAUCCAAAUGCUACCUGCAAAGUUUUAAGAAAAAAAGUUAAACAUUUUGGCAUGUGUAAAAAAAUAAAUUUGAACACCAAAUGUUACCUCAAAUUUACUUUUUCACCGACGAAACACUACUGCUUUGUUUUGUAUGAAAAUUGUCAAGCAUGCUUGCGACACUAACAUGAACAGCUAUAAAAAAAUCAGAUCUUUUUGAAACAGUUUACCACUUUUUUCGGUACUGUUCAUCUAGAAGCGUUAGGACCAAAACACCCCUCCCUGAUUUUUUAUCUUCCUUUUUUGAGUGUGAAUUUUUGGGCCUCGGGUGCGAUGGGUCUCGCUAUCCUCACCAUGCAGAAACGCGAGGAGAUGGGUGCUAGUGAGUGUCUCGCUAGGUUAGCUGGAAAUAAAUGCACCGAGAAAUACGACUGAGCCAUGGUUCAGAAUACGGGCUUUCAUACAUGUGCGGGUGAGCCAAGAAGUGCAUAUGAAAAUAUGAGUGGUUUGCUGUAUGGUGGUUGGUAGACUGCAUAUGAAUAUAAAAAAUACUUCGUCCGGUGUUUGGUUGCUUGGCUCAGAUCAAUUUCCAGCAUUACACUUUGUUUAAAGCACUCGAGGACCAGGCUGAGGAGGUACGACCGAAUUGGCCAUUUUCACUCAUGUAGUUUCACGCGGACCAUGAGAUGAGAAAGAUCCGUUUCUUUCUGUGUCAGGCUGCAUUCUUCUCUUAUAGCGCAUGCGGAACGCCGCUACUACCAAACGUGUGAGCUUGUAUUCUAUCAAACCCCACCAACCAUCAUGCAAGCAACCAAACAACAUGAGUACUUCAUUUCUUGCAUCAUUUUUCCUCAACUAGGCCACAACCUGGCUCGUUUCCCUCAUACCACUAGUAGAAAACAGAGCUUUGGUCAUGGGGCAGUUUUCACAUUAGUCCCGGUUCAGUAGGGGUGGAAAGUGGUAGCAGAUAAUCCGAAAUAUCCGAUAUUCGUAUUCGAGAAAAUGCCUAUUCGUAUCCGAAAUAUUCGCAUCCGAAUCAAAAUGGAAAUUGAAAUUAUCCGUAUCCGAAUUUAUUAAACAAAAAUAAAAUAAAAUAUGGUAGAAGAUUUUGACACAAAUAUGGAUACGGAAGUGGAUAUAUCCGUAUCCGAAUAAGAUUAUGGAAGGUAAUUUUUAAAAUCCUAGGCCCAAUAUUCCAAUUAUCCAACAUAAAAACCAAAUAAGUGGUCAAAUUUUACUCUUUAUAUGAUUAAACUUAUAAAUUAUUAUGCAUUACAGUAUUUAUUCAUAAACCUAUUUAUCAUUGACUUAUUUUAUAUCACAAGUUGAUUAUUUUAGGUCACAUAGCUAUCAACUAAUUUACUUAAGCAAUAUGUUGAUAUUAUUCGUAUCCGUUCCGAAUUAAGAAAAUAUCCGAUACGUAUCCAUAUUUAAAUAAUAUCCGAGCCGCAUCCGUAUCCGAUAACAUCCGUAUUCGGAUUCGUAUUCAUUUUGAAAAUAUGAAAAUGGAAGUGGUAAGAGCACUAUCCGAUCCGCAUCCGAUCCGUUUCCACCCCUACGGUUCAGUCAAGAACCGGGACUAACGUGAGCAUUUAUCCCGGUUCGUGCGGCUAAGGCAUUAGUCCCGGUUCAUCUGGGCCCUUUAGUCCCGGUUCGUGCCACGAACGGGGACUAAAGGGUGCGAUGCCCAUUAGUCCCGGUUGGUGGCACCAACCGGGACUAAAGGUCUCCUUUAGUACCAGUUGGUGCCACCAACCGGUACUAAUGGGUUUUGAGGCAUUAGUACCGUUCAUGGCACGAACCGGUACCAAAGGUUCNNNNNNNNNNNNNNNNNNNNNNNNNNNNNNNNNNNNNNNNNNNNNNNNNNNNNNNNNNNNNNNNNNNNNNNNNNNNNNNNNNNNNNNNNNNNNNNNNNNNNNNNNNNNNNNNNNNNNNNNNNNNNNNNNNNNNNNNNNNNNNNNNNNNNNNNNNNNNNNNNNNNNNNNNNNNNNNNNNNNNNNNNNNNNNNNNNNNNNNNNNNNNNNNNNNNNNNNNNNNNNNNNNNNNNNNNNNNNNNNNNNNNNNNNNNNNNNAAAAAACAAAAGAAAAUGAUGGAAAUGUCAAAACAUAAAAUAAAAUAAGUUUCCCAUGUGAUAUGUGGUCUACUUGUUGGGAAAAUUUACAAAUAUGAAUUUCGACUUUAUUUGCAAAAUCUCUCUGGAAUUUGUAAAAUGGGCAUAACUUUUGCAUACGAACUCGGAUUAAAAAAAAUUAUAUGAAAAAUCAUCUACUCGAAAAGUUACAUCUGAAUUUAACCGGAGGAAUCCCGUUAAACAUUUUCAAAAUCCUCAAAAACCUAACAGAAAAAAAGUUACGGGGCUUUUAAGAUCUAGAGUGGAAAAAAUCGAAAAAAUUACUAGUCAAAUCUGGUCAAACAAUGGUCAAACUGUCGUCAAACAAUGGUCAAACUAAUUAUUCUAGAAUAUUAGUGUUACUAAAUAAUUAUUUCAGUUAUUUUGAAUUUUGGUCAAAUCUGGUCAAACUAAUUAUUCAAGAAAUAUUAGUGUUACUAAAUAAUUAUUGUUUUAAAAAAAAUAGUUUCAAACUCAAACAGUGAAAUGUGUCACUUCAUGCUCAAGCAAAAUUCAUGAAGGUUAGAUUGACAUCUUACUAUUGUCAGGAAAACAACAAGUGCAGACUUGGAAACGAGAGAGAAUAGAACCCGGAAGUUAAGCGUGCUCAGACUGGGGGAGUGGGAGGAUGGGUGACCGUUCGGAAAGUUAGAUGAUUUGGAAUGAUGAGGGGUGAUUAGAGGAUAUAUUGAGCAGUGAUGAGGGGUGGUGAUUACACACUAGAGGUUAAAAUAAUUCAGAAAUUUGAAAAUAUUUUUUUUAAAAAAAAUUCAAAAAAAAUCAUAAAAUUUCCUUUAGUCCCGGUUGUUGUUACCAACCGAGACUAAAGGUGGAGCUCCACGUGGCCGCGCCCUUUAGUCCCGGUUCGUGUAAGAACCGGGACUAAAGGGGAGAGGCAUUAGUACCGACCCUUUAGUCCCGGUUCGAAAACCGGCCUUACCAACCGGGACAAAAGCCCCCUUUUCUACUAGUGUACAUGAGGGUAAUAUGAAUACUGCCGGACAACCCGAGCAUUUGAGGAGACUUUGAGGGGUCCGGUUGGGUCAAUUUUUCUUUCUCUCUCCUGUCCGCUCAGUGGUUCUGUGUCUGCCCGGUCAAUUUGAGGAGUUCGACUGUAUAUGCUUUAAGGUACAUUUUUUUUUGGUUUUGUAGGCUCAUAAUAGCAAAUAGCAAUCCACUUAUUUGUCUUUCUUCUACAACACACAAACAUAAAAUAUGCAUCGGUUAAAUUUUGUGUUGACGUACAUAUUAUGAAACCAAAAGAACUUCUAUAGGAAUAGAGCUACGUUCUGAAAGCCUUCAAAAGAAGAGCUACUUUCUGAAACAAAUAACACCACUUCUGCAGAAUACAAGUGGCCACUUUUUUACAAGCACGGUUUCCAUUUAUCACUAUGUUGAUUUAAGAUUUUUAUAUUUUUAGGGGCUUUUGAGGAUUUUAUCUGCCAAAUUUCCAAAACCAUGAAGAGGUGCACCAAAUCAAAUCCGCUUUAGACUUGCGGGCUUCGGUCCGUAGCCCACUUCAGUGUCGUCUGCGAGCGUCCCGGAGGACGUGGCAAACAGGUGAGGGCAGGAAUGGGGGCUACAGGGAGCGGAGGAGAGGGGUGGCCACAAUGCGGCGACCUACGUGUGGAGGAAAACGAUAGACAAUAGCAAAGCGGGGGAAGGAAGAAGAUGACCUAGGUGGAUAAGGAGCCAAUGGCUCGGGGCGGGCAAAUCGAAAGACAGCACGGCGACCGGCGCCUAUCAUCGCCCCAUUUUUUUACAAGCAUGGUUUCCAUUUAUCACUAUGUUACUGUUUAGGUUUUUAUCUUUUUAUUAUAGGGUUCUUUGAGGUUUUUAUCUCCCAAAUUUCAAAAACAGUGAAGAGGUGCAGUAAAUCAAUCGUGGGCUUCAGUCUGUAGCCCACUUCAGAGCCUGCUUCUGCUCUUCACACUUCACUCUUCCCAGGCCGCGCCGCCCCCAGCCGCCGCGAGAAGAUGAGCAGCCCCCGCUCCUCGGCGGCGGCGCCGCUGGACGACGACGACCUGCUCGCCGAGAUCCUCCUCCGCCUCCCCCCGCAGCCCUCAUCCCUCCCCCGCGCCUCCGCCGUCUGCAAGUUCUGGCGCAGCCUCGCCUCCGACCCCGGCUUCUCCCGCCGCUUCCGCGCGCACCACCGCAGAAACCCUCCCCUCCUCGGCUGCUUCGUCCAUGAUUUUUGCGAGGUUCGCUUCCAGCCUACCCUGGAGCCCCCCAAUCGCGCCCCGCAAUCCCGCUUCCCCUUCGCAAUCGCCGCCGGCGACCGCUUCCACAUCCUCGGAUGCCGCCAUGGCCUCGUACUCAUCUUCCACGACUCACAGAAGCAGCUCCUGGUGUGGGACCCCUUCACCGGCGACCAGCACCGCCUGGACAUUCCCCCGGGGUUCGCCGUGGAGAAAACCUGGAUCGGCGCGGCGGUGCUUCGUGCUCCCGGAGAUUUCCACCAUUUCCAGGUGGUCUUGGUAGGCAACAGCGACAUUCAAAGCACACAAGCGGUAGCCUCUGUUUACUCUUCAUUGACCGGUGUAUGGGACAGGCUCAUCUCAACACCGCUUCCACCAGAGGAUUCUGGUUUUCUCACCAUGGUUUACACGGGCAUGCCUGCUGUGAUGGUUGGGGGUUCCUUUUAUUGGUUGCUUUAUGGGAAUUCGCAAGAAAUCCUUGAAUUUGAUUUGGAUAAGCGGAGCCUGGCUUUAAUACCCAUGCCAGUGGGGAACACUCGAGACAUGGGCGAAGGCAAUAUUUGGGUUAUGCCGGCAGAGGGUGCUGGCCUUGGUUUCCUCUUCCUGAGAGGCUUUUGUGCCCAAUUAUGGAAGAGGAAGACCGACUGCAAGGGUGUUUCUUCAUGGGUGCUGGGAAGAAGUAUUGAUCUCGACAAGUUACUUUCCUUGAAUUCAGAGAUGGAGAUAGGGUACCCAUCGAUACUAGGGUUUGCAGAGGACAAUAAUGUGGUGUUAUUGUGGACGUCUGUCGGCAUCUUCACGGUCCAGUUUGAAUCAUUGCAGUUCAAGAAACUUUUCGAAUCCCAUGACUGGUAUCGCUGUUGUCCAUUUGAAGGUGUCUAUACUGCAGGUAAAAAUAAAUCAAGUUAUUUGAUGUUCUUGGAUUAUUACUGUUGAAUUGUGUACUUUCACCUGUUUAAUCUAGGACGUCCAUAGAAUGAAACAACACAAAGAUUUGCAAAUAGUAUUAUGUAGAGUACUCGAACUAAUUUUUUGUUAUGGACCAAUAGACAUACUCAAGAAUUUCAUAAUGGUGGUAUUAGUGCAUUGCUGCAGUACAAAUGUUACUCAAGAUGAGAUACACAGUGUUUUGAAAUUGAAGACAGUUACAUGAGAAACUUGCUUGAACCAAUUGAAAUGUCAAAUAGGUAGCUCAAUUGGUACAUUCUGAAGCUCAAAGCUGGUUAUAUUUCUUCCAUUCAAUAUGGUUAUCUUGUCGAUCUUGCCAGUAAUAGUAAAUCCCCAAUGGCGACUAGGUUUGAUGGUUACAAAUUAGUUUUUCACUUUUAGAAGAGUCAUGCUGCAAGUGACAUGUCCAUUUGCUAGAAAUUCAGGCUAAAUUUAUUUAAAGAUAAUCUUAAUAUGAAUAGUCAUGAUCACUUCUAUUGCUAACAUUUAUUAGUAUGAGCAUGUUCCAUUUUUAUCCAAUGUGGCAUGGACCAUCUUAAGUGUAACUUUAGAUAUUUUUCCUUCCUAUCUGCUAUUUUAUUUAUCUAUUCCUAAUUUUGCACGAGGCAUGAAUUAUUUUCUCAAAAUACAGCAUUCUGCUUAUCUUAAUAUCUUGUUAAUGUCCUCUCGCACCUAUUUGACUGUUCGUUGGAAUAUCAUUGGUUCCGUAACAUAUUAUUCUUGUAGGCGGGGGCAUUGGUGGUGGACCCUGUGGAGCUAAACUUUUGUACAAUACAUAAUCUGAUUUGUCUUGAUAGACAUUCUAACGUGAUGAAAUGCUUGAGCAGCUACUAUCUGUUAGUAGUAGCAGAAUGAAAUAUUUUCCCUUUAUUUUUAUUUUUGCUGGUUGCUACAUUGCAUUGCUUUUUUUUUUCUGUGGUUAUGGGUCUGUCAAGUUUGAGGAUGAUUUGUUUGUUGUUCCAUCAAUGCAAAUAGUUGAUGACUAACAACACCUCAGCACUUGGCUUGAAACUUUCUUUAUUUAUAUGGGUUUGCCAUUUCACAUAUUGCUUUUUAGGGAAACAUUUUCACAUUAUUGCUCAUGCAGGAUCAUUAUCAUACCUAAUGACCACUUGCAGUUAUUGUACAGUUAUUAUAAUCUUAGGUGUUUUGGUUAAGUAUUUUUCUCAACAUGUCUCUGUUUAUCAGUCUAACAACCAUAAUACCCAAUAUAGUUUGUCUGAUCCAAGCUACAUGCUGGCUGUGUUGUGGUUUGUGUGCAGUCUGAUUUCUUCGAUUUCGGUCAUUAUAGAUGUUUAACAAUUUUUGUACUGAACGCAUGAUAAAAAUGACAUGACUAGAUUCAUAUAUUAAACACUGCCCUCUUCACAAGUAGUUGCCUGUUCCAACAUUUCGUUUUUGAUAUUGCGCAGAGUGAAAAAAAAGUCCUCUGUUUGGUUGGAAGGAAGUAUCAAUGAAUAAAAUGAUGCAUGAUUUUCUACUGCAUGAAUUUGAUUAAAUUCUACUCCCUCCGUUCCAAAAUAGAUGACCCAUCCUUGUACUAACUUUACAAGGAUGGGUCAUCUAUUUUGGAACGGAGGGAGUAGGUGUUAGUGAUUAUCUAGCUCGUACGUUUCUAAGAGUAUGCUUAUGAGCUAGAAACCAGAUGUUUCUGCUCUGUUUCUCCAUGUGCCCCUCAUAUGCCCAUGAUUAGAAAGAAAGUUUCACAAGAUUUGUCAAGCUAUAGGAUGUUCUAAUAGAUUUAUCUGAAGCACCAACCAUUUAGGCUCUACUGAGACUAGAUGUAGCCAAAAGCCUGAGAAAUUGAAGGUGUGCAGCUACAAAUUAACUGUCUUUCUAUUUCUGUUCUCUCUUUGUACAGUUGGUUGUGUCCAAAAUUGUUGAGUCGAUUCAACCUUGAGCUCUUGAAACAAUCUCCAUAAUGUUCUUUUAGAGAACAAUCUCCGUAUUGUUGUAGCUAGUGCCUACUGUCUGAAUCAGACAAAAAAAAUGUUAGAUAAAUUCAAUGGCUUCUGCGUGAAUGAGUACUGCAAUUCGGUUUAUCUGACAACAAUGGUUGCUCUGCAGGUAACAAGAGUUAAAGUUUCGUUGUCAGAAAUGAAGAAAAUGGAUUAGUUGCUGUAUGUUUAUCUACUCUCUAUGCUGUGCAUGCGGCUUGUGAUGUGCUCCACAAGGGAAUUGAUCUUCUAUUUAUCAUGCCCUGGUCAACUGUGAUGAUGUGCACUUGUAGGGAUUAAACAUGUCCUGGCCAAUUGUAACUUGGAAUUAAUAAUUUCUUAAGCAGUGAACUUACGUCUAUUAUGUGAUUUCUGUAGACAUUAUGUGGUUUUGCUGUCAGAGGUGAAGAGAAAUUUAACUUCCUCGGUUAGUGCCACAGUGUUAGCCAUCUCACUCUGAAUCUUGCAGUUCAUUUGCUUGCCUUUGCAUCUAUUUUUUUGUGUGCACAUAUCCUUCUCAGCAUCGUUUGCUCAUGUCCCACAAGAACUCUGCUCCUGUGUUUGAAACUGUAUUUCAAAACUCCCAUGAUGCUUUUAUGAGUCGAAAUAAUUUGCACCCAUUCAGUAGCAAUGCUGCUACUGGGACAAUUUAUCUUCUUUCUGUGGAAUAACAUAUGAAUUAAAAACAGUGCUGCUAAAUCUCAGUCGAUUGAGACUUCACGAAGUCUUAGUCGAUGUUAUAUUCCUUUGAUCUUGCAUGGAGAUUUGUGCUAAGUUUUUUUUUCGUUUUUUUCUUUUCCUUUUAUACACUAUGUCACUUGACGUCGACUUCGCGAAGUCUCAGUCGGCUGAGACCUAGCCACACCCAAUUAAAAAUCUUUUAUGAGAUGGAAUAUAAACAUACAGACAAUGUAUGCCUGUGUGCUUCAGUGCAGUGCACUGGCGAACAUUGCAUUUUAUUUCAUUCUAGACUUGAAGAAAAAAUGGAGUGACUCUUGCACCGCAGAGCCCUCUCUUUUUACUAGACUAGAGAUGGAAUUAAUGUUUUAUCUUCUUCUUUUUAGAGAAAAAACUGAGUGAAUCUUCUCCUUCAACUGGGUUCAGUACAGUGAUUGUAGUGAAUGGAAAAACUAUGCAAUUUAAAAAGAAUAGUGAAACGAAAACCAUAGUCAUAAGAUUUCUUAUAGAGCAACAAUACAAAUAAGGAUUUUCUGUCUCUUUUUUCAGACUAUAAAGAUUUUUUUGAGGGCCUUUUUUUAGAUUAAAGAUGAAUUCUCUGCCUAUACACGGUUGUGCGUGGUGGGCUUUUUUCUUACUAUAGUGUCGUGGGUUUUCUCUUGUUUUCUGUCUAAAAAUAUAGAAUUUUGGGCUUUAGGUCAUCUGAACUGCAUCUCGCACCAACUGCCGCCUCCCUUGCCGCUGUAGCCACUCGGCGGCGACGUGGCGGCAGGUCGAUGACAACCUGCUCACUGAGAUCCUUCUCCGCCUCCUAGGGCUCUUCUACAUGCCUAUGCUGGAGGCCCCCAAUCGUGUCCGCGCUUCUUCUCCUUGCAGUUUGACUAGCACAUGAUGUACGACGCCAGGGCAGAUUUAUUUUCCUUGAUGCCCACGAGUUUCAACGCCCUAGCGAAAAAAGGUCCUAGUUUGGGACCCUGUCAACGGCGACCAGCGUCGGACUACCCUCCCCACGGGGCCCUUCAGUUGGUAGAACACCUCAAUCAACGGGCGGCGCUCCGCUCCGGAGACAUCCACCACUUCCAGGUGGUUUUGGUAUGCAAAGACAAACAUCAUACACGAGGUGGUUGCCUGCAUUUACUUGUCGGACGCCAAUUCCAUCUAAGGCUCAUACACAAAUACGCUCGGUGUUUUUUCUAUGUUGUACGUGGUGUUAGCUGUGGAUUUCCUUUAAUGUCUGCUUGAUAUGGAAAGUGACUGGAAUUACCGAUUUUGAUUUCGACGAUUUCGUCUUUCAUGGUUCUUUUUUUUUAUGCACCAGGCUUGUUUCAUUAUAAAUCGAGUGUCUCCAAAAACACUUGGCUUACAAUCUUGCAUCUUGAUUGGUCGAUGCAGGUCUUUCAUGGAUUUACGCGUCAUGACCGUUGGAUUUACUUAGUUGGACGGCUGUGAGCACCUAUUAUAAGCUGAGUGCCGCCAAGAAAAAACACACUGCUUAUACCCUUGCAUUUUGAUUGGUCAAUAUAGGCCUUCCAUAGAUUACAAGUUAGAGCAAGUAUAAUAAGUUUAUGUAAGCAGGACAUGGAGGGGAAAGAAGAGGAGCCGGCUACAGAAUAAGAGCCGGCUGCAGCACGUGCUCGUAGGCACUAUGUGAGAGUGGAAGGUGGACCAUUUAUUAAUGAGGUAGCACAUCUUUGUAUCUUAUUAUUAUACUCCCUCCGUCCAAAAAAACUUGUCAUCAAAAUGGACAAAAAAGGGUGUCUCUAGAACUAAAAUACAUCUAGAUACAUCCCUUUUUAUUCAUUUUGAUAACAAGUAUUUCCGGACAGAGGGAGUACUUGAAGGCUACAAGAUUUUUUUUUGAGAUAAGGCUACAAGGUUGGCUAUAGAUGACAUGACAACAUCAUAUAGACAUCAGCUGGCCGUACUAUUAACCAUGCUCUUAUGACCGUUGGAUUCGGCUUAAUCGGACGGCCCUGAGUAGAUAUCUUAUCUGUCCCAUCUCUCACUCUCCUUAUCUCUUUUCUCCUCCAGUACGCAGCCGCCGCAGCUCCUCCUCUGGCUCGCCUCGCUGCCACUGCUCCUCCUCUCGGCCAAGCUAGUCCUCGUCCCCUCUUCUCUCCUUGUCCUCAUCUCCACCUCUUCCCCUCUUCCUUCCUCGCCAGCAGCAGCAGCACUAGGGAGCAGCGGCGGCGGCAAGCGAGCAGCAGCAGCGGAGUAGCAACAGCGAGCAGCAAAGUAGCAGAAGUAGGGAGCGCCGGCGGCGGCGGAGGAGCAGCAGCGUCAAGAUAAUUGAUUCUUGCCGGAAGGAACACACGUACACAGCUCCUGAAUCUGAUUCUUUUCGUUUAUUUACACAUGCGCACACAAAACCGGUGCAUUGCCGCAAGCUCGAAUCGGGCCUGCUUCUUUUCGCUUGUUUCUCGUCAUUGUUCAGUGUUUACAAAGGGACAUACAUGCGUAUACAUACCGCUGGUGGCCCACGACGGCCCUCGGUUUAUAUAUAAACCGGGCUGCUCACCUCGGCCCUUGGUUUGCACCCGGCUUGUACCUAGUAAGCCGUGUGCUACAAGCCUCUUUUUAUAUAUAAACCGAGUUUAAAUCGGCAUAGCCGAGUGUAUUAGGUACACGGCUUAAUUAUAAUUUUUUUGAAACUAGCUUGAACCAAGUCAAGUGUCAAAUAGGUAGCUCAAUUGGCACAUUAUGAAGCAUAAAAUUGGUUAUAUUUCAUUGUUUCGAUAUUAUUAUCUUUGCCUUGCUGAUAUUAUUAAAUCCAUAAUAAUGACUUGGUUUCAUAUUUUACAAAAUAGUUUUUGUAACAUUUAGAAGAGUCCUGAUGCAGCUAGUAAGUUCAUUUGUGCAGGAGAAUUCAGGCUAAAAUUUUACAAAGAUAAUCGAAAUAUGAAUACUCAUUAUCACAUCUGUUGCCAGAAUUUAUAAGUAUGGGUACAUUUCAUUCUUGUCUGAUAUAGCAUGGAAUGAGCUUAAUAGUAAUUUUAGAUACCCCUACCUUCUAAUCAGUGAACAGUCUAAGUAUGUAUGUUCUUCAAUUUACGAUAUUAGUGAGUAUAUAUUGUAAUGAGAAUAUUUGAUUUAUUUAUUAGUAGGUGUUGUUUGGUUUAUCUUUUUCGUAAUGUUGCAUCAAACCUGAGCUGCUUUUCUCAAGUGAGUUUAUCUAAAUACCCUGCUCAUGCCCGCUCGUAUCUAUUCAUUGUUCAUUGCAUUUCAAUGGUUCUUUGACUUCUUAAUCUUGCAGACACGGGCGUUGAUGGUGGACAUGGUGGAGCUGAAAUUUUGCACAAAAAGUUCAUUUGCCCCAGUGGAAGUGCUUUGAUGUUGUUUGAUUGAGCAGGUAACCAUCUGUUACUAGUAUCACAAUGCAAUAUUUUCCUUUUCCUUUAGUUUCCUUGGUGGGUGUUUUCUGUUUUACUUUGGUGGUUGCUAAAUUGCAUUUAACUUUUUCCAUCUGUGGUUAUCAUAUGACUAUGCAGCCAACCAAAUCGGCUGAACAAAGCCUGAGCAACCAUUUCCAAGUGGCUGCACCCAGAAUCCAGUGUAGCCGGCGCCUCCACAGGUUGAACUAAGGAUCACGUAGGAUCCAGUGCAGAUCAUUUCCAAGUGGCUGCACCGAGUUCAAACCUGCAGGAAAGUAGAAGCUCUUUGAUUGUUAAAAACAUAUUGUUGCAAUACCUUCAAAUAGCCUUAGAUAAAGCACAAACUUCAACCCAGAUUUGAGCUUUUAGUUGUUUAUUAAUACACCCUAACCAGUUUUCGAACAUUAUUAGACUAAAGCACAAACUCCAACCCAGAUUUGAGCUUUUAGUUGUUUAUUAACACACCCUAACCAGUUUUCUGAAAUAGAAGUUAGUAAUAUACACCUUGAGUUGAGCUUCUCCAAUGGUGCCAUCAUCUUGCUCAAGCUGAUCUUUUUUUUACGAUGCUUCCCAUUUGCAAGUAAAAUGGAAGUACUUCAUAUUGCUUCCCCCCUCCUGAACAUGCUUCACUAUAGCAUGUUAGGUCCAUUUCAACUCUUCUUCUCUCAUAAGCUUAGUGGUCCGCUCAUCAGCAUCACUCUUGAUAGACCUUUCCGGCUUCCGCUGCACUCAGUGGAUUUAGUUCUGCCUUAACAUCCAGUUGAUCAAUCAACUGAAGUAAGCCCUCUUUUUCUUUCCUAUACCCCCCACUGAGACUACGAGCCCAUCCCUUUAGGAAAUCAAGCAUGCCUUUUCUCUACUUUGAUCAAGUCGCAGACUCCCUGCUAAUUAAGGUCAGUUUAUGCUAAAGGGAAACGAAUUAGUCUUAUUGACUGAUAAAACAAAUGAGAGAUGACAGUUCACACGUAUUGACUUCAAAAAGUCUCACUUGCUUGUCAAGUGCUAACAUGAACCCAUGUUAAUUGCGAGAUCCAUCUAAACAGAGUCACAAUUGACCUACUAAACUAAUUAUAAGGCUUAAGGGGUAAAUGACUAAGUGACCGUUUUGUUUGAAACCAACUGAAAAUAUUGCUGGAUACCCACUGUCAGUUCCUUCCAUAUGAGGGGAGAAAUUACGAAUUAACCAUCACAUUUGAUCUUGGUUUGUCUUUAUUCUGAUCAAGUCCUAGGCUCCUAGGUAACUAUACCGUCGGUCUAUGCUGAAGGGAAAGAAUUAGUCUCAUUGAACGAUAGACAAAUGGUAAGAGUACUAUUCACAAGUAUUGACUUCACAAGAAUUGCACAUGCUCGAUUGCUUGUUGCAAGAGCUCAUGGACCAUGGAAACUGUGAGAUCCACUCACACAGACCUGACUUGAGGAGAUACCUGUACAUGACCAAGUGGCUGGUCAAUUUUAAACUGAUCGGAAGUGCCGCUGGAUAUCAACUGUGGUCCUUUGAAGUGGCUAGAAAAAUUGAACACUGAGUUUUUUCUUCUUUUUAGAUGAGAAGGGAAAAUAUGAAACAAGCACAUUUGAGCAUAAUUUUGUUUACUUUGUUGAAGUCCCAGGCUCCUGGAUAAUCAGAGUAAUAGUAUAUGCUAGGGAAAAAAUUAGUGUCUCAUUGAAUGAUAAAAGAAAUGUGUGAUGAACUGAUGAUGACCAUCGAUUGAGUGUGAGAAAUAGCAUUGAUGAAAGAUCUAUCCACAUGGCCAAAAUAAUAUGAUUAUGGUGCAAGUCAACCCUGCUAGAUGCUGAUCCAGAUGUUGCUGGCAACUCACCAAUUGGGUGAUAUAUUAAUUCCACCUGGAGAGAGAAGACAAAACUUAGUUUCAUGCAAUACAUGGAUAUGCUGGCAAGCAUCAAAGAAUCUCGACUGUCAAUGUAAGUUGCAGAAAUGGAAAUGGUAAGAAAGAAUACAAGCUGCUCUCCUGAUUGCCGCUAUAUCAAGUGAUUGCCAAUGUAUCAGUAUAUCACUGUCAGCAGAAUAUCACAGGACCCCACCAUCAUCAGUAUAUCUAGACCAAGAAAUGUUGAAGAAUGACCUGUAUGGAAAGGUAGUGCUGCAAAUUUGAUAAUAUAUGCACAACCGCGUCUGCAGUUGUUUUACACAACCAAAAUACAUUGAAAUAUAUCAAACUGAUGCCCGUUUUAAAUUGUUGGUGGUUGCACACAACGCGCUGACAGUUGAGCAAACUACGAUGGCGUACAAGUAUGCAAUAGUUAACAAAGAGGCUACUUGGCCCUGUGGGUCGCAUAUUGUGGAGUCCCAUACCACUAAGCUCCAAGCUUUAUACUAAUACCUUGCAUUACUUUCUGCCAUAUUCCAUAUAUAGUUCCAUAUCGCUGGCUUAGACUCAUACUUCUCAUCAUCACCAGCAUUGUCAAAAUGGGCGAGAGCAGAGGAAGCAUCGCCUUCUUUGCGUGCUACAGGCCUCCGGUGCCCCUCGACAUAUUCUGCUGUCCAGCUCCAGCAUCAUCAAGGGAGGAGGAGCGGCACUUGACGGAUGGCGUGUCGUACAACUACAACUGCCAACCCAUUCCAUCUGCGGCCCUCAAGUCGAUCGUCAAGCACCUAGAUCUGGCUCCUGAAGACGUUGAAGAAGCCGCCAUCGAUUCGGGCCGUCUCACCGGCCUCGUCUUCGUCUCUGAAAGACAGCACCACCUCGAGACUCUUCAUAUAGGCCUGCGCUUCGAUGAUGGCGACGAAGUCAGGGUCUUCACCUUGGGGGACAUCUAUGGCGGCGACUUUUUCAGUGGUGCCCGUCUGGAGGACAGCGGCUGCAUCGCAGGAGGCUACGAGGUGGAUGGCCACACAGCUGACCAUUACCUCGUCUUCGUGUCCACGAAGGAGCCUGUGCAAGAACGCCGCAGCCCGUGGAAUGUCGUCUACAAAACUAAUCUCAGAACAGGCGAAACUGAGCGCCUCACUCCACCAGGUAAUUUGGUUGUUGAAUCUUAUCUUCCUUUUGCUAUUUGAUCUACUACUUUGUACUUGUCUCUGGAUAUAUGAAUGACUAAUUAAGUUGAGUCCUUUCUGAAUUUGAUCUACUUCUACUUGUUCUUGGAUGCAUGGCUAAAUUUCUGCUUAAAUAAUAUUUGGUUGACCUGUUUAAUUCUACAUACACAAACAGGGACAUCCGAUUUAAGCCCCUCGGUGUCACCAUCUGGGAAGAGGGUAGCAGUGGCUUCGUUCCAAGGAAAGAAAUGGGAUGGUGAAGUUAAAGACUUGCUGACAAACAUUUACGUGAUGGACCUAGAGAGCACAUAUCUGGAGCGCGAGCGGGUGAUCGAGAACGCUGGCUGGCCAUCAUGGGGAAGCGAAACAGUACUAUUUUUCCAUAAAAAGGUUGGGGAUAACUGGGGUGUAUUUCGACACGACUUGAGCACCGGCGAGACCCUCCGUGUGACCCCGGAGGCAUUCGAUGCAGUGACUCCAGCAGCCAUUGAUGAGAGCAGAGUGGCUGUGGCAACCAUCCGCCAGAAGUCUGUGUUCACCGACGUCCGUGUUGAAGCGCAGUACCGUCACAUCGAGGUUUUUGACAUGGGUUUGCCGGAGGAGCCACUUCAAAUCACUCGGUGUACCAAGCCAAAAGGCGACCAUUACAACCCCUUUGUAAUGGAUGGUGGCAAGUACAUUGGCUACCAUCGUUGCAAAAGCGACCAUCUCGAGGUACCUACCCUUGUGGCUAUGCCCUAUGCACAAUGAUUUGCUUGUUCAGUAGUACACACUUGCACAGUUACAUUACAUUAAUUAUACUCCCCCCGUUCCAAAAGAUAAGGUGUAUUAGUUUUUUGAAGUCAAACUUGUGCAUGUUUGAGCAAGUUUUUAGAAAAAUAUAUUAAUAUCUAUAAUACCAAAUUUGUAUAAUUAGAUCCAUCAUGGGAAGUAUUUUCGUGUUUUAUUUAUUUUUGUAUUGUGGAUGUUAAUAUUUUAUUCUGUAAUCUUGGUAAAACAUACAUAUAUUUGAGUAACGAAAAUUGAUGCACCUUAUUUUCUGGAAUGGAGUAUGUAGUGAUGUCGUUCAAGCUGUCUAAAACAUUGUGUCUCCUGCAGCAUGGAGAUGAUGUCCCGAGGCGGUUCGACAAGCUGCAGUCCCAUCAUGAAGAUAUUGGUCUGUUUAGGGUUGCCGGUGCAUUCCCGGCAUUUUCCAAAGAUGGCUCCAAGCUUGCAUUCGUCGAUAACGAGUUCAAAGCCGUGUGGCUGGCCGAUAGUGACGGAAUGCGUGUUGUCUUCGAAGUAAGUACACCAUGUCCUUUUACCUUUUGGUUCAAAAGAAUGGAUGAUGUUACGACUGUUUAUGACUGGCCGAUUGUUAUUGACUAUGAGUGCUCUGUUUGUAUUUGUGUACUUGUACAUAUAGACGGAUGGUCCUGAUGGCGUCUUCUCACCGGUGUGGAACCAAAAAAAGGAUAUACUUUAUGUCUGUAUGGGACCGUCUUUCAAAGCCAACGAAAUAUUGGAGAUCUACGCCAUCCCUCACGUAUCGAGUGGUGCACGAGAGCGGCGACUGCUCACGAAGGGAAAAUUCAAUAAUGCGUUCCCAUCCACCAAUUCAGACGGUAAGGAAUUACCACUACCGCAGCCUUGCUUCAGUGGCUCCAUGAGUCCUCUCUAGUCCAUUCAAUAAGAAUGUUGUUUCCCUUGGCAUGGUGAUAACUUUGUAUACCUCUCACAAUGACCGCUGUAUAUUUACAUUUAUGUGUUUACGCUUGUACAGGGACAAAACUUGUUUUCCGAUCGACAAGAAAUGGGGGAGACAAAAAGUACAAGAAUCUAUACAUGAUGGACGCAGAGAUCGGGGAGGACGGCGGUGAAGCGGAACGGAUAACAGAGGGGGAUUGGAUUGACACACACUGCCAGUGGUCGCCAGACAGGGACUGGAUCGUGUUCUCGUCAAACCGUGACAAGCCCGCGGACGCUCCGGAGCGCGACCAUGGUAUGGACCCGGGGUACUUUGCUGUUUACCUGAUGAACGCAAUCGACCGCUCUGUGGUGAGGGUAAUCCGGAGCGGGUACGACUUCUCCGGGCACGUGAACCACCCGGUCUUCAGCCCGGACGGGCGGAGCAUCGUCGUGACGGCAGAUCUUGCCGCGGUGUCUGCUGACCCAAUGUCGCUGCCGCUCUUGUUGCACUCGCAGAGGCCCUACGGCGACAUCUUCACCGUUGAUAUCGACCCGGAUGACAUGGAGAAGAACCAGGAUGUGGAGGAGUUUGCCCGAGUCACGCAUAGCAGGUACGAGAACGCCACUCCUGACUGGACCGUGUUCUCAACUCAUGACCCGCAUGCGCAGUGGAACCUCCUGGUCAUGGAGGAGGAGUACACCCCGGCGUGCCCGUAUGCGCAUCAUGAUGGGGGUGAAAGCUGGCACAUGACAGGUCAGAUGUGCAUCCCGAAAAGGGUCUGUUGAUCUUACGCCGCUAUGUCGGAAUGGCCCGGAUAACUGUGCCUGUUUCGCGCUUGGGCUCAUACUGUUGCCUGGAUUUAUUGCUUGAGAUGUAUUUGUAAUUUCUGUUUGGAUUGCUGUCUAUUUGGGUUGGUGUUGAGGUGAUUUGCCCGGACCAUUUGCAUUCUACACAUUUCAUCUUGCUGUAAUAUAUAAGGCUUCAGAGUUUUAUAUGAUGAUUCUGAAUUGAGUAGCCCCUGCUUUUGUUGUGACAAGUUUUGUUAAACUUUCAUGACACAAGUACAUUAUUUAUCAAAACGUAAUGAUGAUAUAUUUACAUAGAAAGGUUUCGCGGAGGUGAUUUGCUACCUUUGACAGGAACGGUUUACAUCAUUCAAAUGCUCAGCAACUUGAAAUAGUUGUUCACACCUGCUGUGUGGUAAGUCCUACUAGCACCUAGCUCCCUAUCUUGCCAACAAAGUGUCUGCUCUCUCAACCGAGAUCCAACAACUUCAGCAACACAACCUGACCGGAUGGGAUGAAGCUGCCAACUUUGUACAAAGGUUUUCAUGAUGGUGUUCCUAAAUACCAGCACAGUGGCCCUCGCAAGCAAUAGCAUGACUUUUCAUACACUGGAAUUUUUUGAAGAUGCUUAUAUUAUGUAAACUGAAAUAUUUAGGUUAUAAUAUAGCCACUACAAUUGUUUUUGCUCAGAGAGUAUACUUGUGGAUUACUUCUUUAAUCAUAAAGUUUGUAGACUUAAUGAUUACUAUUACCAAUUCAGAAACACCAUAUUAUCAACCACAUGAGCGGAUGAGCCCAUAUUAUGUACUCCCUCCGUCCUAAAAUAAGUGUCUCAAAGUUGAUACACUUAUUUUGUGACGGAGAGAGUACUAUCUCCGUCUCAAAAUGUAAGAUGUUUUUGAGGCAUCCUAAAAAAACGUCUUAGGAGUACUUCUGUUAGAUAUAUGACUAUGAAUAUAAUACUAAUCAGCAUUGGCCACAUGACAUUCAGUGUAUAGUUUGACUUAUAUCAAGUGCUGAAUGUUGUUUAUGUAUAAUUAUCAAGAUAUUUUGGUUGACAUAUCAAAGGUAGGAUAAUGCUGAGAUACACUCAGCAUGUGUACUGUGUAUAAAAAAUUUAAAAUACAAAUUCAUAUAUGCAAUGUGUCAGAAAGACUAUACUACUGGAAACUUGUUUUGAAUACGAAUUCAAUAGUACAUAUUAAAGUGGUAUAGUUCUAUAUAGUAGAACGGUUCUAACACGAAUUGUGGUGGUUUGACCGUAUAACGCACGAUAUUACGAGUAGGCAGAUCAGCGUCCUCUCACAUAAUCAGAUGACCGCAAAAGCACGACAAACUUUUCCGCAAAGAAAAAAAGAGCACGAGGAACUGCAGGAAUAAUAAUUAAGCACAUAUAGAGCUAGAGAUGCGAUAACGACUUGGUGCAAACAGCAGCAGUUUAGAACCAGUACUCCUCACUUAACCCAUUACAUACCCAGGAGUGACACAUCUGGCGAGACAUCAACUAAGAUAGAUACCCAAAGCUCGAGCGGAACAUUCUCCACGUGCGUACCACGGUUGCUGGGUAUAGAAGAGCGGUACGUUGUCAUCACUCAUCAGUCAUAGUCCAAACAGAAAACACACGACGUAGAUCAGGAAGUAUGCGAGAGGGCCAAACGCGCAGCCGCAAAGAGAGCAGACGAUGGAGAUGAGCGUCCCCGCGGCGCCCGGCGCCAUCCCCGCCGGGCUGGAGAAGGCGUAGACGGCCACCACGACCGCCAGGAUCACCGCCAAAAUCAUGGCGGACGAGCUGAUGAUGAUGAUGCCCUGGAAGUGAACGGAGGGAGUCGGAAUGGAUCGAUGGCGAAGAACGAGUGUGGAAGGAAAGCGGGAUGUCGAACGUAUGGUAUGACUGGUGGGUUCUUAUACAGGCCUCCAGGCUCCAGCGCAGCAGGGUCGGGCGGACAAAAUCCGGAGCCCUGUGCCAAACUAAAAAAAUGAAGCCCUAUCUAACUAAAAUAUAACCUAACGAGCAAUUAUAAUGUAUAUAUUAAUAUAUAUCAAGCGGAAUUUUUUCAUAAUGUAUAUAAUAUAAUGUCUUACAUAACAACUGAACGUAUAAAAAAUCAUAUCUAUUCAACUCCUGACUGCUAUUUAUUUGAAAAACGUCAUUUUUUUAGUAUUCUUUGAAAUGAAAUCUUCAAUGAUAUCCUCGUAAUCAAUCUUCUCCAACACUUUACUCUCAAGUGCUAUUGUGGCCAAAUCAUUGAUUACCAGAUGACAUUUGCGGUACUUUUUUUUAACAAAUCUGUCCAUACCACCUUUAUAAGAUUUAUUAAUUAAAUUCUCUUCUUCUGCUUUUUUCUUGCGCUUGUAGGCACCCGACUGAUGUUUCCCCGUAAUGACUCAAAUUUGUAUUAUUGAAACACAAGAUAAAGAAGAUGAAUAAAAUAAAAUUGAAUUUAUACGUAGCAUAUAUCAAUUGAAGAUCAUGCGUCAAUGCUUGGGAAUUAGACGAACCGUCUAACUCAUCAAAUUUUCUGUCCUGUGAUCUUUAACCCGGGAGGUAAGAACCAAUCUAUAAUGAAGUAACGAUUCUUGUGAAUAAUUAAUUAGAAAAUUAAGAAUUGGGAUUUAGGAGUGGGAACCGAAGUUAAUUAAAAAGAAUGACUCGCUAAGCACCUGAAGGCUAGCGUCGGUGACCGAUCAAUCAGAUGAGAUGAUGUUGACGAGUCUGAAAUUUAAAAAAGGAGUCAAGAAAGUCAACAGCGGCACCACGGCAGUGACCUGUCGCUUAAGUCAGCCUGAAUCCGAAAUCGGAUCGGUCUAAGGAGUAAGGACCAAGGGCAGAGCGAGAGCUACCGAGGGACGAGGCGGGACAAGGCGUCGACGGUCAACCGGUCGACGUGACGAUGUCAAGGGCUCCAGGCGUCCAGCCGUGAGGGCUCCAGCGAUCCGAUCCGUAGGCUGUAGCGAUCUAAUGUUUUUUUUAUGGUAGCCAUCUAAUAUUUUUUAGAUAAUAACGUAGCUAAUUAGCUUUGCCCUCGUCGCCUUUUUUUUCCUGAGUGCUGCCUCGUCGCCCUCUCGUAGCGAUCUGGAGGAGUCCCAGCACUCCGUCCGCUCGAUGGCCUCGCUCUCACUCGAUGGGCCUAGUCGCUCGCCGCUGGCUCAGUUACGCUUAACUGUUAGUCUGUUACUACACCUACAUAAAAAAUAUGGGGCCCCCCAGAAUUUUGGGCCCUGUGCGGGCCGCACCUUUAGUACAACUGUGGGCCCGGCCCUGCAGCGCAGUCUGCACGAGUUAAUCGGUCCUCGGCCAGCGGUGAAGAAUUGAUGUUGCAUGUCUUCGGAACUACAAAGGCACGAGUUAAUCAGAGCUUCGCGUAGUAGGUUUGACCCGUUGUGAAGUUUAAGGGACUUGACUUGUGCGUGGUGUUUGACUGUACAAGGAUUUAUCACCUUCUUAUUGGUUCAUCUUUACCUCCGUUUGAUUUUUAAUUCAAGCUUGGCUGCUCUUCUUCACCUGAAUCGUGUGGUUCAAAUUUCUGAAAGUUGAGGUUUUUUAGAGGAGACCGAAAUUUCAGAAAGUACAGAAUCCACGGCCUUGUUUGAUACGGUGGGACGCUCAAUUUCUGAAAGUUGGCGUCCCAAUCUCCGCAAGAUGGUUUUGUUUAGCUUUGUGAAUACUUGUGCUCAAACUUUUAAUCUUUGUCUUCAGGAGAAACCUCCUGAGGGCUAUGCUAAAAUGAAUAUCAAUGCUGCUUUCUUUUUUUUUUCUUUGAAAAAGAGUGUUUUUUAUUGACUCAUACAGUAGCAUCGAGGGAUACAAUCAUGAUGAAUACACCCGGCCUUCGCAUAACUAAGAUGCACACAGCCAGCACAACACACACACACACACACACACACACACACACAAAAAUGAUCACGCUAGCAAAGGCAAAGUCAUGCAAAGACCAAAGCUAUGCCUAGGCGGAGGAAGAAAAGAACAAAAAACUGAAGCAAUGAAAACAACGAUUGACGAUGUACAACGGUGGCCAUCAGCCCCAGUCAUCUCUUGACAUCAUAAAGACUCCGAGAAGGGUUCUCCAAAAGCGACGCCUCCAACAAGGAAACGACGCACAAGCGCCGCCGUCGCCAAAUCCAACCACCAAGGGUCGGCUCACGGGUUUUCACCCUGAAGAGCAAAUCUGAGCAAACUCCGAGCAAUGCCGUCAUCAGAGUAACGACGUAAAGAACGCCGCCAUUGCCAGGUAUAACCAACUAGGUCAAACCAGAGUUUUCACCCCGGGGCUCUAGAUUGGGUACUCGAGAAGUACCACCCAAUGAAAAUCAUUUUAUGUUGUCUCCUCCACUUGCCUCGAUCCCAAUAGCUGCAUGUGUGCACGGUCCUUACGGCGAGUGAUGACCAUGCCUGAACGAGUAGGCUGACGAGACUCGACAAGAGCCACUCGCCAACACUCGAAGAAGUCUUUGACGGAGACGAAGGACAGCAGCACCACGAAAUCCCUAGUUCGGGACACUCCGAAGGCCAUGCACCAUCCGCACAAAUGGCAGCGUAGGCUGAUCUAUAUGAGACGACAGCAGACUCGCGGCCACUAACUCCGUGUCGUCCUCGCCAGGCACAGAUCAUACAGGUCCAAACCACUUGAGGUGACCACCGCCUGGUCGAUGCUGCUUUCUGACUUCCAUGAGGAGAAAUGGGCUACUGGAGCUGUGAUCAAAGAUGACCAUGGGCACUUUGUGCCGGCGAGUAACAGCAGAAUUGAACAUGUAAACUCGGCAGCUACUGCUGAAGCUAGAGCGUCCAAAGACGGGCUCAUCCUGGCAGGUCAAGUUGGACGCGAGAAGAUAAUUAUCAACUCGGACUGCCUGGAAGUUGUUCAAACUAUCAUGAUGGAGGUUUUUCAGCAACAAAAGCUUUGGCAAUAUACGAAGAGUGUGUGUUUUUAGCUAGGAAUUUCUCUCCUGUAAUCAUAAAACACUGUCCAAGGGAGAGGAAUAUUGUACUACUCAUGUAGAAGGAUCCCAGCCUUGUGUAUGGACGGGAGAUCCUCAAGUUUUCAUUGUAUCUAGCCUAGUGGACGAUGUAACUAUGUUUCAAACAUAAUAAAGUCGCUAUGAUGGCUUUUCCUCAAAAAGUUUUUUUAAUCUUUGUCGUAGUCCUAUUAUUGUAAUUUUUUGCAGAGAAGAGGCAAGUGAUGGAGAAAAUAGUAAAUUACAAAAAUAAUAAUCACAUUUGGUGCUAUGAUAUCAUGGAACAACCAUCUUUGAUGAAAAUUACAAAAAAGACCCCACCAACAUUGGGACAUGUGUAUAACAUACUCCCUUCAUUCCAUAAUGUAGUGCUUCCUCUAUCUCCGUGCUUCAACUUUGACUGUAAAUUUAACUACCAAGACCGAUUGCGGCGGAAGCAAAAAAUUAUAUCAAUGAAUUCGUAUUCGAAAGAAGUUUUUAAUUAUAUAUUUUUUUCUCCCACCGCAGUUGGUCUCGUUGGUUAAAUUUAUGGUCAAAGUUGCACCUCGAAAAGCGCGAGCGCACUAUAUUUUGAAAUGAAGGGAGUAGUACUGAUCUUGUGUUUUAACCGCUUGGGCCCAGUUGUCGGGUGGAACCAGAUCCUCUACCGUGCCCGAAGGCAUGUCAGAGAUGCCGUGCCUUCACUUUCCAGGAACGGUCGAACUAAUGGGCCUGUAGCCUACGAGCAGAACGGCCAAACUAAUGGGCCUGCUAUUUUGAUUGUCUUUUCUGUUUAUUUUCAGCAGCUUGACAACGUUUGGCUAAAAAAAACCUUGAGAACGGGAGGAUUACACAUUCGUUGAAUAGCAAAGCAAGAUUUUUUUUCCGCGAACUUCCAACCUAUUUUUUCCCAGAAAGAUCAGAUCUACUAUAAAAGUUGAUAAAUUAAAUCAAGAUGUUAUGCCUGUGGUGACUUUGUACAAUCUCAAGAUGCUAUUCCAGCUCAGUCUUUUGGAGGUGCUCAUACGGGUAGGGUGUACAUGCAUGAGUUCCUAGGGUGAGUGUAUGCUCAUGUAUAUGAGCGACUAUUCAAGGUCGGGUUUCUCAUGCCUCCCGCCAGUGUCUCUCUGGAGAUGGAAUAAGUUUCUCCCCGCCUAGUUCCCAUCCCGGUGAUGUUUCUAGCAUCAUCGGAGGGUGUGUGUGGAGAUUUGUCUCUGGCUGAUCUCGCGGGAUCCCAUCUUCGUUCGUCUGUGUUCAUGUGUCUAUAGGUUGGACCCUUCUGAUUUAUACUUCUAUUCAACAAUGGUGGUUGUUGUUCUAGUGUGUUGGUCUGAUGGAGCCUUAGCACAACAACUUCCCAACUGUCUACAACAGCAAGAUUUGCCUGGAUCCGAAGAGACACGGGCGAAGACGGCGGCGCACCUUCGGCUCGCUCUAGUGCUUGUAGUCAUUAGUAGGUUUCUACAGACUUGGAUGUAUUUUUUACUUCUUGUUUUCUUUGUACUACCUUGACAGUUGAUGAAUAAAUUAAAAAAAAUCUCGCAAACAAUAUUCUUUAUACGACAAAUGAUGAAUAGUGGUUGUUCGGUGAUUUCAGAAUCUCGAUGUAAAUUUUGAGUUGAUUUUGUACUUCCGAUGAACUUUUAGAAUACAUCUGAUUUUUCCGGAAAAAAUGGUUGGGUGUUUUCUGCAUAAAAAAUCUUGCUUUGCUAUUCAACGAACGUGUGAUGCUCCCGUACUCAAGGUUGGAUGUUUUUUUAGACAAACGUUGUCAAGCUGCUUUUUUUAGCGGUACAUUGUCAAGCUGCUGGAAAUAAAUCGAAGACUUUGUCCCCUAGGGUUUCCCUCUAGGGUCUACCUGUUCCUUCGGUGGCGCCGCCGAAGUCCACAUCAAAUCUACUAUAUUUCCCCGGCUUCUCACCGGCGGCUGGUAGCAACACAGGAGAUCCUACGGGGGUGCGCCCAAUCAUGAUGGAACCUGCAAGCGAUGGGCUCGGGGGUGUCCCCGAGGAAGGACAGACGGGGAUGGAGAAGCGGGAUGGUGAGGAAGUUGGGGUCGGCCAUGCCUCGGCCGAUCUGCCAGGAUCAGAUGUUCCAGAGGGAAGUGGGUCGGCUGGGAUGGAGGAGGUGGAUAUGGAGGAUGUAGAGGAAGAGGAUUGGGAUCGCUGUGGGCCUGAACCGAAUUUCGAGGAUGCGUUUGAGGGGUUGAACUUGCAUGGGGAGGAAGCGAAAGAUUUGGACGUAUCCGGUGAGGUGGAUGAUCUGGUCAAGGAUGUGUGGUGGCUGGCCCUUUUUAGGGUUCAUACGCUGCGCCCGUUCAGCCAUGCUGCUCUACUUAACUCCAUGAGAAAUGCAUGGUCGUGUGCGCAGGGUGUCGUCACACCUUUUCGAAUAUCAAAGUACCGAAUUUGUUCUUGGCCCAGUGCCACUGUCUAGGUGAUUGGAAGAGGGUAAUGGAAGGGGGGCCGUGGCAGUUUCGGCGUGAUCCUGUGGUGCUAGUGGAAUAUGAUGGCUUUACCAAUGUUACAGAAUACGCCCUGGACAUGUACCCGCUUUGGGCAAGAAUUAAGGGCUUGCCGGAUGGACUAACUAGGAAGAAAGAGCUCGCGGAGAAGGUGGCCAAGAAGGUAGGAGAGCCUCCCUUCACAGUGAUCGUGAACGAAGGGAAAAUAAAUCCUUCGAGCUACCUGAGAGUUAGAGUCUUUGUAAAUGUCAAUUCUCCUUUGGUUAGAUUUGUGCCCAUUACAUUGAAGGAGAAGAAGAAAUAUCCAGUAUAUUAUGAAAAGCUCCCGGACUUCUGCUAUUUUUGUGGCUGUAUGGGGCAUGUGGUUGAAGAGUGCGGAGAUAGCAUACAUGACCCAAGUACUUGUGAAUGGGGUGAGUACCUCCACUGGAUAAAUGAGCCUGUUGGCAAUGGGCCCAAAGGGGGCCGAGGUGGUUGGGGUUUUGCUGGAAGAGGGGGUAGCACGUUUGGUAAUGGGCACCGUGGGGGUGGAGUUGGUGCAAGGGGAAGAGGUGCAUGAGGAGGAAAUAAUUCAACAAGGGGCUAUAGUGGGGGGAUGUGGAUACGGGUAUGGAUGAGAUGCCAGGAAGUAAUCAUUUUAACUCAAUGGACAUAAUAAGGGAUGAUAGGAGUGCUCGGAAGAGACUGAUCCGCGAUGAUGGCACUAUUAAUGUGCGCGGACAACCUGUACCCAAUCUUGCUGGGAAGGUUGCAGGUACAGUUUUGCUGAUUGAAAAAGGGGAAGUAGCUGAAAACAGUGUUAGAUUGGAACCCAGUACGACCCCCAGAAAAAUACCUAUUGUGAAGCGUAGGAAGCAAGGUGAUGGUGAUGCAGUUUCUGAUACAGCUAGGACAGCCGAGGCGGCCUCCGAGAUGGAGGACCGCCGGUCCCAAUGAAUCUCAUUAGUUGGAACUACCAGGGAGGGGGCCGGGAAUACCCGGACAGUUCGAGAAGUGGCGACUUUUAUUAGGUCGCAUUCCCCCAUGUUGGUGUUUUUGUGUGAAACAAGACAGUCCAAGGAGAGAAUGAAAAAACAUCGAUCAAGGUUUGGAUUGAAAGGCUUUGAUGGUGUGGACAGCAAUGGUAACAGUGGAGGUUUGGCGUUGUAUUGGCAUGAAUCGGUUAUGGUUAAUGUUGUUUUUUUCAAAUCAGAGGUGCAUAGACGCACAUGUUAAGCUAGGGACAGAUGAAGAUACAUGGCGUCUAACUUGUGUGUAUGGAGAACCAAGAGUUGAAGAUAGACACAAUAUGUGGUCACUCCUUAACAAUAUGAGCGCUCAAUCUGAUCUGCCGUGGUUCGUAGUUGGAGAUUUCAAUGAAUGUAUGUGGGACUUUGAGCACUUCUCAUCAACGCCUAGGCAUCAAAGGCAGAUGCAAGCUUUUCGUGACUCAUUGGAGAUUUGUGACCUUGCUGACUUGGGGUUUUCUGGAGUCCCACGCACGUAUGGUAACAAAAGGAGUGGCAAUGGUAAUGUUAAAGUUCGCCUAGAUAGGGCGGUGGCUUCCCCGUCCUGGCGCAACCUCUUCGAGCAGCCGUCAGUUCGUCACCUGAUCUCACCGGUGUCAGAUCAUGUGACCUUGCAUGUAAGCUGUGAUAGAUUUGUGGGCAUGCAUGUUAAAAAGAAAUUUAGGCAAUAUGAAGUAAUGUGGGAAAGGGAGCCGGCGCUCCAAGAAUUAAUCACGCGUGCCUGGGCGGAUGCAUGACAGAAAAGGUGCAUGGGUGAUGUACAUGCGGCCCUUAGAGCCAUGAUGCAUAAGCUCUACGCAUGGAGUAAGGAGAAAUUUGGCAGCAUGACUAGAGAAAUAGAGAAGACAAGAACACGGCUUGAGGAGUUGAUGCUUAUGAAUGCGGAUAGAUGUGAGAUUCAACGAGUUACUGAUAAGUUGAAUGAACUAUUAUACAGAGAGGAGAUGAUGUGGCUGCAGCGGUCUCGAGUGGAUUGGUUGAAAGAAGGCGAUCGCAAUACAAAGUUUUUUCAUGCAAGAGCUAUUUGGAGAGCUAGAAAGAACAGGAUCAAGAAACUAGUAGAUGAACAAGGUACUGUUCACAUGGAAGUCAGAGAGAUGGGAGAUGCAGCCUCUGCUUAUUUUGGAAAUAUCUUCAAGGCUGGCCCCUCACUUGAUUCUUCUCCCGUCACAAACCUGUUCAGUUCUGUGGUCACCGACGAGAUGAAUGAUAAUUUUAUGUGCAGAUUGUUCUGAGCAGGAGAUCGCCGAUGCCCUGUUUCAGAUCGGUCCCUUGAAGGCGCCGGGGCCCGAUGGCUUUCCCGCGCGGUUCUUCCAGAGAAAUUGGGCGACUAUGAAGGAAAGUGUAGUUGUUGCGGUAAAGGAGUUUUUUCGCACAGGUAUCAUGCCACCACACAUUAACGACACUAUUAUUGUCAUGAUUCCGAAGGUGGAUAGUCAGGUAAAGAUUACAGACUUCAGACCAAUCAGUUUAUGUAACAUCAUUUACAAAGUGGUGUCCAAGUGCUUGGUGAAUCGAUUGAGGCCUGUUUUAGAUGAUAUAAUAUCUUCUUCUCAGAGUGCGUUCAUCCCUGGGUGUAUGAUCACUGAUAAUGCUUUCAUAGCGUUUGAGUGCAUUCACCACAUAAAAUAGGAAAAGGACCCCACUAGGAGUUUCUGUGCUUAUAAACUGGAUCUCUCUAAGGCAUAUGAUAGAGUGGAUUGGAACUACCUUAAGCAGAUGAUGCAAAAGAUUGGCUUCGUUCACCGGUGGAUAGACUGGAUAAUGUCGUGUGUGACCUCGGUGAGAUACUCCGUAAAAUUCAAUGGAGCCAUCUUGAAUUCAUUUGCACCGUCGCGUGGCCUACGGCAAGGUGAUCCGUUAUCCCCUUAUUUGUUCCGUUUUGUUGCAGAUGGUCUCUCGGCUCUCAUUAACAAGGGGGUGGAAACUGGGAAUUUGUCACCACUGAAAAUAACAAGGAGAGCCCCCGGAAUAUCACAUCUUUUGUUCACAGAUGACACGUUAUUGUUCUUCAAGGCUAAUAUUGAUGAAGCUAACCAUAUUAGGAGCAUUUUGGAUGUUUACGCGGCUGCUACAGGACAACUUCUAAACCCCUCCAAAUGUUCUAUGCUGUUCGGAAGUUCCUAUCCUGCUGGGUCUUUGGAAAGCGUUAAGCAAAUGUUGCAGGUUACUGCAUCGGAUUUUGAGGAAAAGUACUUGGGCCUACCAACACCAGACGGUAGGAUGUCAAAAGGGAAUUUCCAAAAUUUACAAGUUAAAAUGACAAACCGCCUGUUUGCGUAUGAUGGCCAUCCUACACACGCUGGGAAAGAGGUUCUUAUUAGAGCAAUUGCUCAAUCUAUCCCGACCUACAUCAUGAGUGUAUUCAAACUCCCCAUGGAGCUUUGUGACGAUCUGAAUCGCUUAAUUCGCAACUAUUAUUGGGGUGCAGAGAAGGGAAAGCGGAAGACUCAUUGGCAUGCAUGGCAUAAAAUUACUCGGCCAAAGAAACAAGGUGGCCUGGGUUUCAAAGAUUUUCGCUUGUUCAACCAAGCCUUGUUGGCACGCCAAGCCUGGAGGAUUCUGGAGUUUCCAGAUUCUUUGUGUGCCAAGUUACUUAAAGCCAAAUACUUCCCAAAUGGACACCUCUUGGAUACUGUUUUUGCUGGAAACCCAUCGCCUACUUGGCAAGCGAUUGUCCAUGGGUUAGAGCUCUUGAAAAAAAGGCAUGGUUUGGAGGAUUGGGACGGACCAAAAUGUCCGUAUAUGGAGGGAUCGAUGGAUUGUUAGGGAGCCAUCUGCUGGCCUUAUUUCUCCACGAGGGAGGUGCCGCCUCAAAUGGGUCUCGGAGCUCAUAAACCUCCAUGGUAAUUGGGACAUGGAUAAACUAACGUAGUUUUUUCUCCCAGUGGAUAUUGUGGAAAUCUUGAAAAUCCAUUUGUUUACUCGCUUUGGGGAGGAUUUCUUGGCAUGGGCACAACGGUAUGUUCUCUGUCCGGAGUGCAUACAAACUUGCUAGUGAUGAGUUGAUGAACCCACGGGGACACUCCUCCAGCGCCAGAUCGGAUGGCACACGGGAGUGCUGGAAACACAUUUGGAAAAGUACGGCUCCACCAAAAGUUCAGAGUUUUGCGUGGAGAUUGGCCACAGACUCAUUGGCAAACUGGACUAACAAAGUCAAAAGGAAACUAGAGGUGUCACCGUUAUGUACAGUGUGUGGUAUGGAAGAGGAGGAUUUAUUCCAUGUGUUCUGCAGUUGUAAUCAUGCGAGGGUGCUAUGGAAGCUGAUGGCAAAGGAGUAGAAGCUCCCACCUAGAUCUUUGUUAAAGCCGGCCGGCUCUGAUUGGUUUAUCAAACUCUUGUCUGAACUGAAUGAUGAAGGCAGAGUGCAUGUGUUUAUGUUGUUUUGGAGAAUCUGGUUUGUUCGUAAUGAGAUUGUCCAUCACAAGCAGCUACCUCCAAUGGACGUGUCAGUGUAGUUUUUGUCUAGUUACCUGUCCUCACUUUAUAACAUCAAAGCCGAUCUACACUAUGAUCCUAUCAAAGGGAAAGUCGUCGUGGAUACAGGUUUUAAUCCAAUACCAUCUGUUGGCUGCUCUGUAGAUGGGUGGUUGAGGCCCCUUGGACUAAACCGGACAUUGGUAGAGUGAAACUAAACACAGAUGCUUCAGUGGCUGGAGGGGAAGCAGGAUCUGGUAUGAUUCCAAGGGAUCAUGAGGGUUCCAUUAUCUUCACUUCAUGUAGACACAUACAGGGAUGCUGUGAUGUUCUGGAAGCCGAGCUCCUGGCCUUGCGAGAGGGUAUUUUGCUGGCGUUGCAAUGGAGCAACUUACCCUUGGAUAUUGAGUCGGAUUGUCUGGAAGCGAUCAAGAUGAUAAACAGAUGCAGUAGUAACAAGUCUAGGUUUGCUUUCAUUAUAGGAGAGAUCACCAGGAGUUUGGGGGAACGAAGUUCUUGCAUUGCUCAUACUCGUCGGAGUUGUAAUAGGGCUAGUCAUUCCUUGGCUAACUUUGGUAGGUUGCAUCACCGAACUGUUGUUUGGCUAGGCUCUGGUCCGGAGGAAGUCCUGUAAACCAAAGUGAGUAAUGCAUGAACUUUAUACCGCAAAAAAAAGCUGCUGGAAAUAAACAGAAAAGACAAUCAAAAUACCAUGCCAUUAGUUGGGCCGUUCUGCUUGUAGGCUACAGGCCCAGUGUGCCCGUUUUACUAGAAAGCAAGAAGGCACGACACCUCUGACGUGCCUUCGAGCACGGUACAGGAUCUGGUUCCUUGUCGAGUUGGCACCGAUACAAGCUGGGUGGCCGACAAAAGUUAGGGCGUUUCAUUUUUUGCCCAGCCAAUCCCUCCCAUUCGACCCCUUUUCCCACACUUUGGAUUCCAUGGUGACAGGUGGUGGAGGUGUCAGUGGUGGAGGUCUGGCGGCGAUGGUGCUGCUUGUGCCGAUAGUGGUGGUGGUUCGCUGAUCUGGAGGACAAAAGGAAGCGGAAGAAUCGGUGGUGCCACAUGUCCACAUGGUAUGCCAAGCAUCGUGCAGCGGACCUUCAGAAAUCAUUUGAGCAAAAAAUUACCCUACCUAGCUAUACUAUCAGUGUGGUUGGGCCAUGGUUGUAGUGUCGAGAUGUAUGCGAACAGUCCCGGUGCCUUGGCCCACAGCGACGACUCGUAGGUGAUUUCGGCGCGUCCCGGCCAUGAGCGUGUAGUGGAGGCAGUGGCGAGGUGUCUUUCCUAGCCUGAGCCAGGGAGAGGGAGAGCCGAUGGCGGUGGUGCGCGACAGUGGUGCUAGCAGAGGCUCGUCAGAGCACCGCGACUACUUCCUUGAUCUCAAGACGAUCAUCAUCGAAGAGAAGGAGGAAGAAAGAGAGGGAGAGGGGGAGAGCAGCCAGUGGUUGUCGAUGCGGUGUCCAGUGGUUGCCAGAGCGUCAUCCAUGUCAUCAGUAGAAGAAGACCUCAGCCAUUUGAUCUGGAUAGAUGGACGAAUGCGAUCGCAAUCCAUGAGAUGGCCAAGCCGACCUAUCAAAACCCACAAGAGGGCUUUCAUGCUUUGCGAGUGUUGCAUUCAUUAAACACUCAAUUCUUUGUCGAGUGUUGCACUCGACAAAGUUAUUUUAUAUGACUUGGAAAAUAUUUAACUUGUAUACUCAAUUUUUUUUAUCUUAUACAUCUAAAUACAAUUUUUUUACAUGUAAUAUACAACAUAUGAGUUAUUUUGUAGGAGUUUCCAUAAUUUUGAAUUGAUUUAGUCUUUUCUAAAGUAUAAAUGCAUUUGAUUGCUCAAAUAUAGCAAAUGGACCCUUAAAAUGCGAAACUUUGACUAUGUUACAUAGAAGUGCAAUGAAGUGCUUCUUCAAUCCCGUCUUCUUCCUCCAAUCCCUCAAAGUAGAACUGGCUAGACAACCUACUCAUGCCUCAUGUGGCCGGCGGCGCUUCCACACACUCAUUGCUUCUCCACCCUCCCUAAGCCAUCGCACAGACCAUUCCUCCAGCCAGUUGUUGUUUUCUGCAUGUUUUUGACUUCUCAGAAAAUUAAUAUCUACGGAGGUACAAAUACUUGUGGAUUUAAUACAAUUUUUUCGCGACACGAGGAAUCCAAAGGUACCGGAGCUAGAUGAGAGGACCCACAGGGCCUCCAUGUGGGUAGGGGUGUGGCUAGGGGCUGACCCGUGCCCUUAGGACGCGUGGGCCCCUAUUAACCGCCUUACGUCCAUUCUUUGCCUAUAAAUUCCAUAAUUCGAGAAACCCUCAGUACCAAUUUUCUUUGAUUUUUUCUGCCGUCGCAAGUUCCUGUUUCAAGGAGAUCCAAUUUGGAGGCUUGUUCCGGCACCCUGGUAGAGAGGGAAUCCAUCAACAAAGGCUUCUUCAUCAACCUUGCUGUCUCCAUGACCAUGUGUGAGUAGUUACCUUAGGACCUUAGGGUCCAUAGCAGUAGUUAUAUGACACUCUCUUGUUCUUCAAUACUACAUUCUCGUGAGCUGCCUCACAUGAUCGGAUCUAUCUUAUGUAAUCUGUGAUGUGUUUGUUGGGAUAUGAUGGAUAGUCACUUUACAGAUUGUUCAUUGAAAUCAAUUGAAUCCUUUGAAGUUUCUUUGUUUUAUAAUUGAAUAGCUUUUUAUGCUCUUCGAUCUAUUUGUUUCCUUUAACUAAGUAUGAUGGGUAGUUCCAUAGAGGGAAUUGUGCAUUGUAGUGGGUUAUAAUCUUGCGGUGAUUUAUAUCCCAGUGAUAAUAAGGGACAAGAUACAUAUUGUAUUGUUGCCACUAAGAACAAAGCCCUAGUUUCUUGUCAUAUUAUUUGAUAUUUUACUAUCUAUAUUAUGUCAUCUUACUUAUUGCAAUGCUCUUUUUGUCAUGAAAUUAAUACUUCGGGGUGCAUGCUGGAUAGCGGUUCUGGGUUGGAGUAUUAGUUAUAGAUACAGUCCGAUAACGGUCUACAUAUCACUGAUGUAAUGCCUAUAUGAGAUUAUACCAUGAACAAUCACAUUCAUAAAUAUAAAUAUUACAAUUUAAUCGCUGCACAACUGUAAUUUGUUCACCACACCACACUUUAAUGCUUAUGAGAGAUUCCACUAGUGAACAUAUGCCCCCUGGGUCUAUUAUCUAUUAAUGAAAACCUUAUCAAAAAUAUUACUUUUUGUUAUAUCAUUUCGUUUAAUUUAUCUUUUAUCAAUUCCUACCAUACCAUGCAAUUUAAUCUUGUAAAAAGCAACACAAGAAGCUUGACAUCCUUGUUUAUAUUUUUGAUAAGCUUGUUUUGUGCCUUGUGUACAGGUACCAAUGACUUUGUUUGCUGGAAGAACUCCUUUUGGUUCGACAAACCUUGGUUCUCUACUAAGGAAAAUAUUUAUUGCUAGGUUACUUCAUCCUUAUACUUGGGGGGGGGGGGGUACCCAACCACUCUUAGAGAGAGUAAGCAAUGCAUCAUUGUGGUCACGACAUCUUGGACCUCGACCUAACGCAUAAUCGAGUGACGUGAAACAAAUUUUGAGGAAGAAAAGAGGUGCCUCCUAAUGGGAAGCUGACAUGUGAGACCCACUGAAAGCACAAGUGCUCCCUGGGUGAUUUUGGUAAUUAAUGCCAACAUAUCUCUUGUUGUACUAAUGUUUCCACCUAGUAUGUUUCAGACAAGUUCAACAAUGGAGUGGCAUGGACUAUAGGAUGUGGAACCCCUUCAAUAUGCUAAGGACAAAGGAUUGGCUCAAGCUCAAAGCUCAGGACUCUACAUUCUCUAUUUUAGCGAUCCAAGAUCACAUUGAGUCCAUAGGAAAGCCAAUACUAUUAAGAAGGGAUGAGGUGUUCUUAAUGGCUUGUUUGCUAAAAGUGCUUAGUGAUAUGCUCCAAAGCCCUCAACCACUUUCUCACUUCCAAAUUUGUCCCAAACCAAAAGUCAAACUCGGCCCCACCGAUUCUUUCUAUUCGGAGCCACCGACACUAGUACAGAACCGGGCUUUAGCGCCGGUUCGUAAGGGCCUUUAGUGCCGGUUCCACAACCGGCACUAAAGAGUGGGGACUAAAGGUCCACCCUUUAGUACCGGUUCAUCACGAACCGGCACUAAAGUGCCACCACGUGCCACGAGCCAGGCCCGGGUGCAUGUAGGUCAUUAGUACCGGUUGGUAACACCAACCAGCACUAAAUGUUUUGGUUUUAUUUUUUAUUUUUCCAUUAAUUUUGUGUUUUCCAUUUAAUUCUUUUUUGUUUGCUGAUAUUUUACGAUACUACGUAUUGUACACGUUAUGCAUAUAUAUAAAUAAAUUUUCUCGUAGAACAUAUAUAUAUAUAUAUCAUUGAAUGUCUAACAACCAUCAUUAAUUAUUCACACAUACACAUGUAUAUAUAUAUACAAUUUCUCCUACUUGUUGCCUUGGUGCCUUUGGAGCACGAUAAUAAGUGGUUCAUGGGGCGAUAGCGGGUAAUAGUAUUUUUCUUUCGGAUCUAUGACCUGGUAGAGCAAAAAUCCCGCUAUUUACUCUUGAAGUGCUAGUAUGCGCUCCGUUGUUAGGAGCUUCUCCCGCACCUCUUUGAACUGUUAAGAAGGAGAUCAAUAUGCAUGUGUAUUAGUUGUGUGAAUAGAUAUCGAUAAUGAUGUAAAUAUUAUGAAUAGUGUUCUGGAAAACGUACCAAUUCCUGUCUUUGAGAUUCGCUCCUUUCGGACGCCAUCAUGCGAAUGUUCUCGCAAACGUAGUAUGCACACAGAUUAUUCCCCAGAGCCUGCCUUAGGGCCUUUACAAGAAUGGAAUUUAAUCAGAUAAUAAUUAAUCAAGCAUGAUAAAUAAUUAAUGGUAUUGAAACAAGAAUUAAAGAGAUGGUAAGCUAGCUAGUAAUACUUACUUACUUACCU
rnacentral:lncRNA from 1 species